CAAUUAUCACUUGUUUAGUUUCUGUGCUUGCCGUGGUUUACUUCGCAUGGAAUGUGAAAAAAUCAAGGAAAGCAAAUGCUAAACUUCCACCAGGACCUCGCGGCUUGCCUGUAGUCGGAUACCUCCCAUUUCUCGGAACUACCGACUUGCACAAGAGAUUCACGGAAUUAUCCGGAGUUUACGGUCCGAUCUUCAAGCUCUGGCUCGGAAAUAAAUUAUGUGUAGUGGUGAGCUCACCUUCCCUAGUUAAACAAGUGGUUCGUGAUCAAGAUACAACAUUCGCAUACCGUGACCCGCCGAUCGCUGGACUAGUGGCCACCUUUGGUGGCAAUGAUAUUGCGUGGUCCAAUUACGGUCCCGAAUGGAGAAAGUUGCGCAAAUUUUUUGUGGGCAAGAUGAUGAGUAACGCAAGCCUUGAUGCUUGUUAUGCUCUAAGAAAACAAGAGGUUAAAAAUACUAUCAGGGAUUUGUACAACAACGACAACAAAAUUGGUAAGCCCAUUGACAUUGGUGAAUUGUCGAUUUCAACCUUGGUAUGUGCUAUGCAGAACAUGCUGUGGGGUGAAGCGCUUGAAUUAAAAGAGAAACGGACCACUAAUCUUGGGGUUGAGCUAAAAUUUAAGCUUGCAGAACUCAUGGUGCUACUGGGAACACCGAAUAUUUCGGAUAUCUUUCCAAUGCUUUCAUGGCUCGACAUACAAGGUAUAGAGAGGAGAGCAAAGAAGAUUUCACUCUGGUUUGAAAAUGUUAUAAAUUCUACUGUUGAAAAGUAUAGAAGCAAGGACUUUAUUGUUGAAGGUAAACAAAGAGCAGGGGAAAAUUUUGUAGGAUCAAAUAACAAGAACUUCUUGCAGUUACUAUUGGAGCUUCAAGAAAAUGAAGACGGUUCUUCCUCAAUUAGCAUGAACCAAUUUAAGGGCGUGCUCGCGGUAUGUUAAGCAACUAGCCACGAACAGUUAUACAAGCACAGUUGUAUAUUUGCAUGAGUGACGCUUCUCAACUUUUUUUAAUUUUUUAAGUUAAAGUUUUAUUGUAAUCUUUUGAACAGGAUAUAAUUACGGGUGGAACCGACACCACAACUACGAUGGUGGAAUGGACAAUGGCAGAGUUGAUGCAGCAUCCACAAGUAAUGAAGAAAGUUCAGGAAGAAUUAGCUCAAGUUGUGGGCAUGGACAGUUGUGUUGAAGAAUUUCAUUUGCCUAAACUGAAAUAUUUAGAUGCUGUGGUGAAAGAAUCGUUUCGUCUGCAUCCUGCAUUGCCUUUAUUAGUACCACGCAGAGCAAGCGAGAGUGGCAGCAUUGGUGGCUAUACCAUUCCCAAAGAUACAACUCUUAUGUUGAAUGUUUGGGCUAUCCACAGGGACCCUCAACUUUGGGAUAAUCCCUUAGAAUUUCGACCCGAGAGGUUUCUGAAUGUUGGUAUCGAGAGUAAGUUCGAUUACUCAGGUAACAAUUUUCAGUACUUGCCAUUUGGUUCCGGUAGAAGGAUGUGUGCUGGGAUUCCUCUAGCUGAGAGGAUGCUGAUGUUUGUUUUGGCUUCGUUAUUGCACUCAUUCGAGUGGGAAUUGCCAGCUGGCACAAAGCUAAACUUAUCUGAAAAAUUUGGGAUUGUCAUUAAGAAAAAAGAGCCUUUGGUUGCUAUUCCAACACCAAGACUAUCCAAUUCAGAGCUCUACCAUUAAGACAGAAUGAUUGUGAUGAUUUUGUUAGUAUCGGAAGAUUUGUAUGUUAUUUCAAGUUCAAUCGUAAUAAAAUAUUUUAAUAAAAGUCCUCCGUUGCUAAUUUUUUUUUUUCAACGGCAUAAUCUGUCAUCGUGCUUGUGUUUGGAGCUACUUUGGAAUGAUUAUUUUUGAAUUACAAUUUAUAAAUAUUUACGUUUUAAAUUUUUUAUAAGAGUCUAAAUUUAUACACGUUCAGUAAAAGAUUCCCUAAAAGCUUUACAAUUCAAAAUUCUAUUAAAAGUAUAGAUGAAACUUUUAUACCUACUAAUUUUUUGGUCUAUUCUACGAGUUUAAAGAGGAGAUAUUUCUAGAGUUAGCAAAAAGUGUUACAUGAUUGUUUUCGCGUAAUGUCAUUUUUUAUUGUGUUAAAUUUAGUUUGACUCAAAUAUGACCCAUUUAAUAAUCGUGUCAAAAUAUUGAAAUUUGAACUCAACACAGAAAAUAAAUGGGUGACCAGUCACACCCAUUUAAUAAUUAGGUAACCAUGUCACUUAAUACGACAUAACCCAAUAACUCGUUUAAUACAUAUUUAACAUAAUUUAUAUUGUACAUUGUACACCCUUUUGUCAUAAAUUACACUAUUUUAUAUUUCUAAAUAAUAUUAUAUAUUGAUAUUGUAUAAAAAAAAUCAAUAAUCUCAAAAUUUGUACACCUCCUAACUUUUAAAAAGAAAUAAAAAACUAAUUAAUUAAUGUUUAUUUUAUUCAUUAAUAUAUCAUAAUCCUACAUGUGUUUUAUUUGUUAUUUUUUUAUUUAAAAAGAUAGGAAGGUGGAUGAAACUCAAAUAAAUUUUUAGCCUAUCUUGAUCUUUCAAGUUUCUUAUUUAAGUGGCCAGCUAAAGAAAAUUACUUGAAGCUACUCCAUCAAUUUAACAAAUUUUAUUUAUUUAUUUAAUGGAGGUGUAGAAAAUAAAAGUAUCUGCAAGCACAUUGCAAUAGUGAAAGCAAUGUACCGGUGUUGCAACAUAACUGAACCUUGAUAACCGAUCACAUAUUUUAAGUUUUAACAUUGGUAGUUCACGGAUCGGUUUCUACUUCCACGAACAAUUAUUGAAGGAAAUGAGUUUUUUUUUUAAUGAAUAUUUAUAGACCCCGAUUAAAUAUUCGAAUAUAUAAUAAAAGAGAAACUGACAUAGAAAUGAGAAAGAUAUUUGGAGGAGGCAAAAAAAAAAAAAAAAAAAAUGCAACAGAGAAUUAGAUCAGUAACACAAAUAACUAAUUAAUUCAUCUAUACAUCAUAAUCCUAUUUGUAUCUUCUUCCUUCUUCUAAUUUACAUAUAAAUUUGGUUAGAUAAAACAUAUUUUAAUACUCGGUCACAAGCGGUGGAUAUAGAAAAUUAAUUUAGAGGGGGUAAUACCAUAACGAAAAAUAAUGAUUCAUAAUUAAAAUCAACCCCAACAUCAAAACUUAUUUACAAGAUUACGCCCAGUCAAAGGUAAAUUUUCUUAAAAACUAAUAUGAAAUUAAAUAAAUUUAACUUUUAGUGGGUUCAAGUGCCCACGCAUUCUGAACGUAGAUCCACCCCUGGCCCCGACUGAAGCAUUUUUUUACAAUAUGUACUCAGUUUAUCAGCAGGAACAACCUUCCACUUUAAAUUAAAAUUUUCACUUAAAAAUGAUUAAUGUUAAUGAGGUUAGCAACAAAAAUGAGUUUAAUUAGAGAAUAUUAUAAGAGAAAUUAUAUUUUUUGACUUUUAAUAAAUUAAAAUAUAUUAAAAUAUUAUUAGUUGGUGGUGGUUUCACGUCAGAUUAAGACGUGACACUUUACUUAUGAGGUCGAGACAAUCGACUUAAAUUAUUUCAAUGCAUUUAAAAUUUAUACUAAUGGCUAUUAUUCUUUAUCCAAAUUAAUACGAUAAUUAAUAACAUACAAUUGAAAUAAUUAAUAUUAUCACUUGGCAAUAAAUAAAGCUCUUGUGCUUGAAUCGUCACACAUGAUCAUUUCAUUCCUUUAUUUACUUUGCUAACACAGAUUUUGAGGCAUUAAAACUAAAUAAUAAUUGAAUAUGGCUUUGUGCGUCGCUGACGCCAGCAGCAAGGGGACCUCAAUUAUCACUUUUUAAGUUGAUUAUUGCAGUGUUUUUAUUUUUUAUAUUAAAAUUAAGUCGAUUUGUUAUAAUAAACUUAGUUGAGUUUAAUGGUAUUACUACAAAAAUUGAAUAGUCAUUAAAUAUUUUAAUAUUUUUAUCGCAAUCAUUGCUGUAGCAUUUAUUUAUUGUAUGAUGAAUUUUAAAAUUUAUAAAAUUAUUUGUUAUUUAAUUACCCCAGAUGCUACAUCACCUGAAACUUAAUAAAGGGAACGUAGCAUUGCCAUUACUCAACAUUCACUCUUAUGACUUUUUUUUUUUUUUUUGUUUUAUCUACUAGGUAUUCUGGGGAGGGCCCCAACUGUGGGAGGCACCUUUAAGCCCAUACCACAAUUCAGAUUAGAAGUCCCCGCUCGAACCAGGAGGCACAUGUUCUCCCAACAAAGACGACUUCCCUGCGACUCGAACUGUGAAGCAAACCCAGUCAAACCACUUAAAGGGACUCCAUUACCAGUGGAGCCAACACUUUAUUGGUACUCUUAUGACUUUAUGACAUUAGAAUUAAAAUCUUUCGUACAUUUAAUUUGUUUGCUUCCAAAUUAAAUCUUUAAUAAAUAUUUUUUUCACAUUAUCAUGAAUGGACAAAACUCCAACGAAAAUAACUACACAAGAACAAUCUAUGCUAGUAUUAUAUGCCACGAUAUCUAUAACUUUGUCAGGAUCGAUCGGUCUAAUUUUUACGCAGAACUUUUUGUCAAUCGACAAACACCUCACAGAGCUUGUCACCUGUCAGCCGCAUUAUUACGAUGUAAAAUUGCACCGGAAUAUCUUGAAUUAUUAGUAGAAUAACGAAGACUAUUUGGAGCAAUAAAAACAAAUAACGCAGAUGAAAACAAUGGCUGAAAUUAUGUAAGUGAGCCCCAAAGUUUUUGCUAUUUCCUGGAAAUCCCCAAUUUGAAUGGACUAGAGGGAGGCACGUAAGAAAUACAUUUUCUUCCUAGACAAUGACAGCUAUGCAUCAAGCCACGGUGGCGUCAGUAUUGAAAUUAAGGUGUAAUUAUUCAGCCAAUGAGCCUUACACAUCAAGAUAAAAGUCAAGAAAAUGGAAAUUUGGCCGUUUCCAUUUUGAAGUUAAAAACAAAGUUUCUUUCGUUUUGUGGGCGACUCGACUGAUCAGUUGGUGGACACCUCUAUUGAAAAUAUCUCUGACAUUUCACUCGACAAACUUGUUAAUACAAAAAAUCUAUGAUUUUAUCGUCUGUAUACUGUAGAAAAAAAUUGUCUAUACAUCUGUGGUAUAGAUUUUAUGUAUUUCAUUACAAAAUGCUGGCCGUUAGAACUCUAUCUACAUCUAUUUAUAAGAUAUUUCGUUAUAAUUCAUUCUGAAACACUAAAACUAAAUAAUCGAAUAUGGCUUUCCCGAUCGAUGAUGCCAGCAGCAAUGAGACUGCAAUUAUCACUUGUUUAGUUUCUGUGCUUGCCGUGGUUUAUUUCGCAUGGAAUGUGAAAAAAUCAAGGAAAGCAAAUGCUACACUGCCACCAGGACCUCGCGGCUUGCCUGUAUUCGGAUACCUCCCAUUUCUCGGAAAUACUGACUUACACAAGAAGUUCACGGAAUUAUCUGGAGUUUAUGGUCCGAUCUUCAAGCUUUGGCUUGGAAAUAAAUUGUGUGUAGUGGUGAGCUCACCUUCCCUAAUUAGACAAGUGGUUCGUGAUCAAGAUACAACAUUCGCGAACCGUGACCCACCGAUGGCUGCACUAGUGGUCUCCUAUGGUGGCAAUGAUAUUGUACGGUCCAAUUACGGUCCCGAAUGGAGAAAGUUGCGCAAAUUUUUUGUGGGCAAGAUGAUGAGUAACGCAAGCCUUGAUGCUUGUUAUGCUCUAAGAAAACAAGAGGUUAAAAAUACUAUCAGGGAUUUGUACAACAACGACAACAAAAUUGGUAAGCCCAUUGACAUUGGUGAAUUGUCGAUUUCAACCUUGGUAUGUGCUAUGCAGAACAUGCUGUGGGCCUGUGGGGUGAAGCGCUUGAAAUAAGAGAGGAAGGGAUCACUAAUCAUGGGGCUGAGCUAAAAUUUAAGCUGGCAGAACUCAUGGUGCUAGCGGGAACACCGAAUAUUUCAGACAUCUUUCCAAUGCUUUCAUGGCUCGACAUACAAGGUAUAGAGAGGAGAGCAAAGAAGAUUUCACUCUGGUUUGAACAUAUUAUAAAUUCUACUGUUGAAAAGCAUAGAAGCAAGGACUUUAUUGUUGAAGGCAAAGAAAGAGCAGGGAAAAAUUUGGAAGGAUCAAGGAACAAGAACUUCUUGCAGUUACUAUUGGAGCUUCAAGAAAAUGAAGACGGUUCUUCCUCAAUUAGCAUGAACCAAUUUAAGGCCGUACUCGUGGUAUGUUAAGCAACUAGCCGCAAACAGUUAAACAAGCACAGCUGUAUAUUUUGCAUGAGUGAUAUUUUCAACUUUUUUUUUAAUUAGAAUUUUAUUGUAACCUUUUGGACAGGAUAUAAUUACGGGUGGAACCGACACCACAACUACGAUGGUGGAAUGGACAAUGGCAGAGUUGAUACAGCAUCCACAAGUAAUGAAGAAAGUUCAGGAAGAAUUAGCUCAAGUUGUGGGCAUGGACAGUUGUGUUGAAGAAUUUCAUUUGCCUAAACUGAAAUAUUUAGAUGCUGUGGUGAAAGAAUCGUUUCGUCUACAUCCUGCAUUGCCUUUAUUAGUACCACGCAGAGCAAGCGAGAGUGGCAGCAUUGGUGGCUAUACCAUUCCCAAAGAUACAACUCUUAUGUUGAAUGUUUGGGCUAUCCACAGGGACCCUCAACUUUGGGAUAAUCCCUUAGAAUUUCGACCCGAGAGGUUUCUGAAUGUUGGUGUCGAGAGUAAGUUCGAUUACUCAGGUAACAAUUUUCAGUACUUACCAUUUGGUUCUGGUAGAAGGAUGUGUGCUGGGAUUCCUCUAGCUGAGAGGAUGCUGAUGUUUGUUUUGGCUUCGUUAUUGCACUCAUUUGAGUGGGAAUUGCCAGCUGGCACAAAGCUAAACUUAUCUGAAAAAUUUGGGAUUGUUAUUAAGAAAAAAGAGCCUUUGGUUGCUAUUCCAACACCAAGACUAUCCAAUUCAGAGCUUUACCAUUAAGACAGAAUGAUUGUGAUGAUUUUGUUAGUAUCGGAAGAUUUGUAUGUUAUUUCAAGUUCAAACGUAAUAAAAUAUUUUAAUAAAAGUCCUCCGUUGCUAUUUUUUUUUUUCAACGGCAUAAUCUGUCAUCAUGCUUGUGUUUGGAGCUACUUUGGAAUGAUUAUUUUUUAAUUACAAUUUAUAAAUAUUUACAUUUUAAAAUUUUUAUAAGAGUCUAAAUUUAUACAUGUUCAAUAAAAGAUUCCCUAAAAAUUUUACAAUUCAAAAUUCUAUUAAAGUAUAGAUGAAACUUUUAUACCUACUAAUUUUUUGGUCUAUUCUACGAGUUUAAAGAGAAUAUAUUUUUAGAGCUAGCAAAAAGAGGUACUUGAUUGUUUUCGCGUUAUGUCAAUUUUUUUAUUGUGUUAAAUUUAAUUUGACCCACAUAUGACCCAUUUAAUAAUUGUGUCAAAAUAUCAAAAUUUAAACUCGACACGGAAAAUAAAUGGAUGACCAUACACACCCAUUUAAGAAUUAGGUAACUAUGUCACUUAAUACGAUAUAACCCAAUAACUCGUUUAAUACAUAUUUAACUUAAUUUACAUUGUACAUUGUACAACCUUUUAUCAUAAAUUACACUAUUUUAUAUUUCUAAAUAAUAUUAUAUAUUGAUAUUAUAAAAAAAAAUCAAUAAUCUCAAAAUUUGUACACCUCCUAACUUUUGAAAAGAAAUAAUAAAACUAAUUAAUUAAUGUUUAUUUUAUUCAUUAAUAUAUCAUAAUCCUACAUGUAUUUUAUUUGUUAUUUUUUUUUAUUUAAAAAGAUAGGAGGGUGGAUGAAACUCAAAUAAAUUUUUAGCCUAUCCUGAUCUUUCAAGUUUCUUAUUUAGGUGGCCAGCUGAAAAAAAUUACUUGAAAGCUACUCCAUCAAUUUAACAAAUUUUAUUUACUUAAUUAAUGGAGGUGUAGAAAAUAAAAGUAUCUGCAAGUACAUUGCAAUAGUGAAAGCAAUGUACCGGUGUUGGAACAUAACUGAACCCUGGUUACCUAUCACAUAUUUUAAGUUUUAACUUUGGUAGUUCACGGAUCGGUUUCUACUUCCACGAACAAUUAAUGUAGGAAAUGAGUUUUCUUUAUUUUUUAAUGAGUAUUUAUAGACCCCGAUUAAAUAUUGGAAUCUAUCUAUCUAUAUAUAUAUAAAGUUAGGACUUGAGGAGGUGAUGUAGCAUCACCAUUUCUCAUCUUUGUAUAUUCUCUAUUAUCUAAUAAAUAGAGAAAUUUUCUUUUACAUUUAGUUUUUCAUCUUCUCAUAAUUAAUUUGAUUGUCAUUACACAAUAACAAUUAUGUAAAGAUUUUAAUGAGACAUAUUUUUUGUAAUGAACAAGGAGGAGUAUUAUGAAUUUAUUAAAAUAAAUGUAGAUGUUCAUAACAUAUAUCUCUUAGUCUCCUCACUAUCUCUCAUUAGCAACAUUUAGCUUCCCUAUAACUCCCACUAUCUCAUAAGGAAUUAUGAUCCAUAAUUUUUCAUUAAUUUCAUGGAGUGAUUAUGUAACUAUAAAAGAAGAGCUCAUCUUUUUGUUUUGUACACACACAAUUGGAAUGAAUAAAAUCACUCUAUAAUAUAUUCUCUCAUUUUAUUCUUUAUUUUGCGUUGCUUCUUUAUUUGUAUUGCUGGCUAAUAGUUUUUAUUUUUAUUUUUUAUAAGGUUGCCUCAUCUUAAAAAAAAAUCAAUUCAUAUUUUUUAUCAGUUUCAUCAAGUGUAAAGUAAGAAAAAAAUAUAAUACUAAUUUUUUUUUUCAAAUAAAUGUAGAUGUUCAUAACAUAUAUCUCUUAGUCUCCCAACUAUCUCUCAUUAGCAACAUUUAGCUUCCCUAUAACUCCCACUAUCUCAUAAGGAAUUUUGAUCCAUAAUUUUUCAUUAAUUUCAUGGAGUGAUUAUGUAACUAUAAAAUAAGAGCUCAUCUUUUUUGUUUUGUACACACAUAAUUGGAAUAAAUAAAAUCACUCUAUAAUAUAUUCUCUCAUUUUAUUCUUUAUUUGUAUUGCUGGCUAAUAGUUUUUAUUUUUAUUUUUUAUAAGGUUGCCUCAUCUUAAAAAAAAAUCAAUUCAUAUUUUUUAUCAGUUUCAUCAAGUGUAAAGUAAGAAAAAAAUAUAAUACUAAUUUUUUUUUUCAAAUAAAUGUAGAUGUUCAUAACAUAUAUCUCUUAGUCUCCCCACUAUCUCUCAUUAGCAACAUUUAGCUUCCCUAUAACUCCCACUAUCUCAUAAGGAAUUUUGAUCCAUAAUUUUUCAUUAAUUUCAUGGAGUGAUUAUGUAACUAUAAAAUAAGAGCUCAUCUUUUUUGUUUUGUACACACAUAAUUGGAAUAAAUAAAAUCACUCUAUAAUAUAUUCUCUUAUUUUAUUCUUUAUUUUGCGUUGCUUCUUUAUUUGUAUUGCUGGCUAAUAGUUUUUUUUUUUUUUUUUUAUAAGGUUGCCUCAUCUUAAAAAAAAAUCAAUUCAUAUUUUUUAUCAGUUUCAUCAAGUGUAAAGUAAGAAAAAAAUAUAAUACUAAAUUUUUUUUUCAAAGCCGCGUGAAGCGCGGUUCUAUUUUCUAGUAUAUAAUAAAAGAGAAACUGACAUAGAAAUGAGAAAGAUAUUUGGAGGAGGCAAAAAAAAAAAAAAAAAAUGCAACAGAGAAUUAGAUCAGCAACACAAGUAACUAAUUCAUCUAUACAUCAUAAUCCUAUUUGUAUCUUCUUCCUUCUUCUAAUUUACAUAUAAAUUUGGUUAGAUAAAACAUAUUUUAAUACUUGGUCACAAGUGGUGGAUAUAGAAAAGGGUAAUUUUCAGUUUCAUCACCUGAGGUUUGGGGUCCCUUCAGUUAGAUAGAUUCUAUGAGGGUAUCUCCACUUUGCACUCCUACCGUUCGUAUAAUGUUUAGUAUAAGUUUAGUUUACGAGAAUAAAUAAGUAAUUGCAUGAUAAAUUAUUAAAUAUUAAGAUAAUUUUGAAUUUUUACACUCUGCAAACUGGAACCUGUUGAAACAUUGUGGUGCUCGCUAGCCAAUAAUCAAAAAUCAAACGACACCCAUUUUGAAGAAACCCUAAGACAAAAUCAAACGACACCCAUUUCAAGCUUAUUAACUAGAGAGAUUUCGAAGAAACCCUAAGUCAAAAUCAAACGACACCCAUUUCUCAUUCCACUCUCCUCGAACUCGAAUCCCUCUUACAAUCGAUUGAUCCAGACACCCUUUACCGAUUCACCGAUCAACUCUCCUCCAAAAAAACUCUCUUUAUCCUCUCUCAUUCCUCCAAUUUCUUGCGCCAUGGAUGCGGGCCCCACCAAUAUCUCCCUCUUGGCCUCCAAAAUUUACCUUGCAUUGCUUCUCUCCCCGAACUCCCCUGUCUUCACUUUGUUCACUCCCAUGGCGUUCCUCUCCCUUCGCCGCUCCCUCAAGAGUUUUAAGCGCGUGUCUGAUAGCGGGUCCCACUCUAGUGUUAACCACAAAAGAAAAGGUGGUGGCAGGCGGGUUCAGCGGGCGAAUGAAUUUAACGAGGAUGAGAGCGAGGGUGGAUUUGAUGCUAGGAGUUUGUGUUUGGUUGUUGAGAAGUUGGAAUUUGUUGUGGGGUUGGUUUAUUUGAAUAGAUUUCUAGAUUGUUUGAAGUCUUUGAUACAGACUGUUGUUGAGAUUCUGGUCUCUUUGCUUGAAUUGGGAGGUUAUGAGAAAUUGAAUGUUUGUUUUCAGGGAUUUUGAUUAAGUUGUUGAGGGGGGAGCAUGGUGAUGUGAUGAGUACAACUGCAUAGGUUUUGAAGUCAUUAGUGCCAUUGAUUUUGAUGGGCAAAUGUCAAGCGAGGAGUUUUGCAUUAGGAUUUUUGAUGAAUGGAGUGAUGGGUGUGGCUAAAGAGAUCGACGGGGUCAAGAAGGCAGUUGUGAAUUUGCCGAAGUACUUGGUGAACAAGGCCCUGGAGAAGGCCGAGCUGAGGGGAUUAGCUGUGGAGGCAAUUAUGGAGAUUGUUAAAGCAAUGGAGGUUGAGGAUCAAAUGGGGUUUGUUGAAUAUACUGUUAAAGCUGACUAAAGGGAAGGCUAAUCUUAGCCUAGUUGCAGUUGAUCUGAUAUUAAUGCUAAUGACGUCGAUGAGAGAUCCAUUGAAUCUCUCGUUUACGACAUUCAGUUUAGUUAAUAAGCUUGAAAAAAAAAAAAAAGGGGCUCCAGUUGGUUAUUAAAAUAGUUUUAUUGAUGCAAGGGUGUUUUAGUCAUUUAAUCAGUCAAUUAACAGUCAAAUAAAUGUUAUCCUAACGGUAGGGGUGUAAAGUGGAGAUACACUCAUACAAUCUAUCAAAGUGAAAGGACCCCAAAUCUCAGGGGAGGAAACCGAAAAUUACCCAUAUAGAAAAUUAAUUUAGAGGGGGUAAUACCGUAACGAAAAAUAAUGAUUCAUAAUUAAAAUCAACCCCAACAUCAAAACUUAUUUACAAGAUCACCCCCAGUCAAAGGUAAUUUUUCCUAAAAACUAAUACGAAAUUAAAUAAAUUUAACUUUUAGUGGGUUCAAUUGCCCACGCAUUCUGAACGUAGAUCCACCCCUGGCCCCGACUGAAGCAUUUUUUACAAUAUGUACUCUGUUUAUCAGCAGGAACAACCUUCCACUUUAAAUUAAAAUUUUCACUUAAAAAUGAUUAAGGUUAAUGAGGUUAGUAACAAAAAUGAGUUUAAUUAGAGAAUAUUAUAAGAGAAAUUCUAUUUUUUGACUUUUAAUAAAUUAAAAUAUAUUAAAAUAUUAUUAAUUGGUGGUGGUUUCACAUCAAAUUAAGACAUGACACCUAAUUUAUGAGGUGGAGACAAUCGGCUUAAACUAUUUUAAUGCAUUUAAAAUUUGUACUAAUGACUAUCAUUCUUUGUCCUAAUUAAUACGAUAAUUAAUAACAUACAAUUGAAAUAAUUAAUAUUAGCACUUGGCAAUAAAUAAAGCUCUUGUGCUUGAAUCGGCGCACAUGAUCAUUUCAUUCCUUUAUUUACUUUGCUACCACAGAUUUUGAGGCAUUAAAACUAAAUAAUAAUUGAAUAUGGCUUUGUGCGUCGAUGACGCCAGCAACAAGGGGACCGCAAUUAUCACUUUUUAAGUUGCUACUAAAAUUGAUUUUAGUAGUGAUAUGAUUAUUGCAGUGUUUUUAUUUUUUAUAAUAAAAUUAAGUCGAUUUGUUAUAAUAAACUUAGUUGAGUUUAAUGGUAUUAUUACAGAAAUUAAAGUCAUUAAAUAUUUUAAUAUUUUUAUCGUAAGCAUUGACAUGGUAUUUAUUUAUUUAUUGUAUGAUGGAUUUUAAAAUUUAUAAAAUUAUUUGUUAUUAAAUUACCCCCAGAUGCUACAUCACCUGAAACUUAAUAAAGGGAACGUAGCAUUGCCAUUACUCAACAUUCACUCUUAUGACUUUAUGACAUUAGAAUUAAAAUCUUUCGUACAUUUAAUUUGUUUGCUUCCAAAUUAAUCUUUAAUAAAUAUUUUUUUCACAUUAUCAUCAAUGGAAAAAACUCCAACGAAAAUAACUACACAAGAACAAUCUAUGCUAGUAUUAUAUGCCACGAUAUCUAUAACUUUGUCAGGAUCGAUCAUUCUAAUUUUUACGCAGAACUUUUUGUCAAUCGACAAACACCUCACAGAGCUUGUCACUUGUCAGCCGCAUUAUUACGAUGUAAAAUUGUACCGGAAUAUCUUGAAUUAUUAGUAGAAUAACGAAGACUAUUUGGAGCAAUAAAAGAAUCCAGCUGUGGUGCCACAAUUAUAUGGUACCACAGCUGGAUCUAACCAUUAAAUUUAGCUCUGGUGACAAUUGUGGGUUAGAUCCAAUGGUUGGAUCCAUCUGUGGUACCAUACAACAGUGGUACCACAGAUUUGUCCGCAAUAAAAACAAAUAACGCAGAUGAAAACAAUGGCUAAAAUUAUGUAAGUGAGCCCCAAAGUUUUUGCUAUUUCCAGGAAAUCCCAAAUUUGAUUGGACUAGAGGGAGGCAGGUAAGAAAUACAUUUUCUUCCUAGACAAUGACAGCUAUGACAUCAAGCCACUGCUAUUAUUAAUUAUCCCCUGGUCAUUACAGUUUGUUAAUAUUCAUUCUGAAACAGUAAAACAAAAACGAAAUUGAAUACAUCAACGAGACCGCAAUUAUCACUUGUUUAGUUGCGGUAUUUAACUUAAUUUUAAUCUAAUAUAUUUGUUAGUUAAACUUUUAAUAAUCAAAUAAUUUUGAUUUAAAAAUAAAGUUAUAGAAAUUAAUAAUUAUUAAAAAUUCACAAUUAAGGGAACGUUCAUCAAACACACAUAGCUAUUGUUUUCUCUAUAUAUUGCAGUGUGUACGAUAUUGAGGGUUGAAGUCCCAAGCAUGCUCUAAAAUCCAGAUAAUAUUUAGAUCCAAGCAAACUAGAGUAGUGAUUUAAUGAAAAUCAUAUGUAUUGAAAAAAAAUGAAAAGAGGUCAUAAACUAGAACAAAAAUAUAAUCAUAUUCAAGUAAACUUAAUAGAUAAACCCUAAGUUCGUGCACGAGAGUUGAACUCUAUGAAUUUUACUCAAUAAUUUGAUGCAUACAAAAUAUAUACGAGUUUAUGAGUGACGUAUAAGUACUAAAAGAGUUAAGUAAUAAGUAAAUAAAAUAAACCAAGUGGCAUGACAUUGAUUCAAUAUUAUUGUAUCAAUAUUUAUGAAAGAAAUUGUAUUAAAAUUAAAUUGUAUGUUGAGUAUUGAUCUUGUCGUCUCAUUAUGUUUAGAUAUCUUAAUAUUAAAUCGAUAUAUGUUGUAUCGUUGGUUGAUUAAAUGUCAUAUCAUUUAAAGUAUAUCCUUAACUAACUGAAUUAAUAGCAUAAAUAAUUUAUUUCAAGAAGUCUUUGACCAGGUAAUGUAAAUGAGAUUUGCAGCUUUGAGAAGAAACAUAAUAUUUCAAACGUAGAAUAUUAAAACGUAACUAUCAUAUUAUCAUUCUUGUUUUUUAAAUCUGAAUAAUUGAGAAUGCAAUUUUAGAAGUCAACUUUAAUGAGAUCGCAUACCAAUUCCAAUAUUUAAUCAAAUCUUGACCGUCCCUCAAUCAAUCAACGGUGCGAAACAAUUAGUGAAUCCACAUAUGAGCCAUGAUUAGUUGGUGGUGAUGAAGGCUGUUAUUGGCGGAGCUCAAAGUUAUUAUGUGCAUGUUGGGUGGAUAUCUCUAUUGAAAAUAUCUCUGAUAUUUCACUCGACAAACUUGUUAAUAUAAAAAAUCUAUGGUUUUGCCGUCUGUAAACUGUAGAAAAAAUUGACUCUACGUUAAUCUAAAUGUUUGAGGUGAUUAGAAAUUACCGACUAUAAAGGGGAAUAAUUUAUAGGUUGAUUGAUACAUCUCUAUUGAAAAUAUCUCUGACAUUUCACUCGACAAACUCAUUAAUAUAAAAAAUCUAUGGUUUUGCCAUCUGUAUACUGUAGAAAAAUUUGUCUAUACAUUAAUCUAGAUGUUGGAGGUGGUUAAUAUUUUAUGUAUUUCAUUAUCAAAUGCUGGCCGUUGGGACCCUAUCUACAUCUAUUAAUAAGAUUAACAGGUGCCAGACUAGGCCAUUACAAAUUAUCCCCUCAUCAGAUAUUUCGUUAAAAUUCAUUCUGAAACACUAAAACUAAAUAAUUGAAUAUGGCUUUGCGGGUCGAUGAUGCCAGCAGCAAUGAGACUGCAAUUAUCACUUGUUUAGUUUCUGUGCUUGCCGUGGUUUACUUCGCAUGGAAUGUGAAAAAAUCAAGGAAAGCAAAUGCUAAACUUCCACCAGGACCUCGCGGCUUGCCUGUAGUCGGAUACCUCCCAUUUCUCGGAACUACUGACUUGCACAAGAAAUUCACGGAAUUAUCCGGAGUUUAUGGUCCGAUCUUCAAGCUCUGGCUCGGAAACAAAUUAUGUGUCGUGGCGAGCUCACCUUCCCUAGUUAAACAAGUGGUUCGAGAUCAAGAUACAACAUUCGCCAACCGUGACCCGCCGAUCGCUGUACUAGCGUUCACCUAUGGUGGCAAUGAUAUUGCAUGGUCCAAUUACGGUCCCGAAUGGAGAAAUUUGCGCAAAGCUUUUGUGGGCAAGAUGAUGAGUAACGCAAGCCUUGAUGCUUGUUAUGCUCUAAGAAAACAAGAGGUUAAAAAUACUAUCAGGGAUUUGUACAACAACGACAACAAAAUUGGUAAGCCCAUCGACAUUGGUGAAUUGUCAAUUUCAACCUUGGUAUGUGUUAUUCAGAACAUGCUGUGGGGUGAAGCGCUUGAAACAAGAGAGGAAGGGAUCACUAAUCUUGGGGCUGAGCUAAAAUUUAAGCUGGCAGAACUCAUGGUCCUAAUGGGAACACCGAAUAUUUCGGACGUCUUUCCAGUGCUUUCAUGGUUUGAUAUACAAGGUAUAGAGAGGAAAGCAAAGAAGAUUUCACUCUGGUUUGAAAAUAUUAUAAAUUCUACUGUUGAAAAGUAUAGAAGCAAGGACUUUAUUGUUGAAGGUAAAGAAAGAGCAGGGGAAAAUUUUGAAGGAUCAAGGAACAAGAACUUCUUGCAGUUACUAUUGGAGCUUCAAGAAAAUGAAGACGGUUCUUCCUCAAUUAGCAUGAACCAAUUUAAGGGCGUGCUCGCGGUAUGUUAAGCAACUAGCCACGAACAGUUAUACAAGCACAGUUGUAUAUUUGCAUGAGUGACGCUUCUCAACUUUUUUUAAUUUUUUAAAUUAAAGUUUUAUUGUAAUCUUUUGAACAGGAUAUAAUUACGGGUGGAACCGACACCACAACUACGAUGGUGGAAUGGACAAUGGCAGAGUUGAUGCAGCAUCCACAAGUAAUGAAGAAAGUUCAGGAAGAAUUAGCUCAAGUUGUGGGCAUGGACAGUUGUGUUGAAGAAUUUCAUUUGCCUAAACUGAAAUAUUUAGAUGCUGUGGUGAAAGAAUCGUUUCGUCUGCAUCCUGCAGUGCCUUUAUUAGUACCACGCAGAGCAAGCGAGAGUGGCAGCAUUGGUGGCUAUACCAUUCCCAAAGAUACAACUCUUAUGUUGAAUGUUUGGGCUAUCCACAGGGACCCUCAACUUUGGGAUAAUCCCUUAGAAUUUCGACCCGAGAGGUUUCUGAAUGUUGGUGUCGAGAGUAAGUUCGAUUACUCAGGUAACAAUUUUCAGUACUUACCUUUUGGUUCUGGUAGAAGAAUGUGUGCUGGGAUUCCUCUAGCUGAGAGGAUGCUGAUGUUUGUUUUGGCUUCGUUAUUGCACUCAUUUGAGUGGGAAUUGCCAGCUGGCACAAAGCUAAAUUUAUCUGAAAAAUUUGGGUUUGUCAUUAAGAAAAAAGAGCCUUUGGUUGCUAUUCCAACACCAAGACUAUCCAAUUCAGAGCUUUACCAUUAAAACAGAAUGAUUGUGAUGAUUUUGUUAGUAUCGGAAGAUUUGUAUGUUAUUUCAAGUUCAAUCGUAAUAAAAUAUUUUAAUAAAAGUCCUCCGUUGCUAAUUUUUUUUUUCAACGGCAUAAUCUGUCAUCAUGCUUGUGUUUGGAGCUACUUUGGAAUGAUUAUUUUUGAAUUACAAUUUAUAAAUAUUUAGGUUUUAAAUUUUUUAUAAGAGUCUAAAUUUAUACACGUUCAGUAAAAGAUUCCCUAAAAGCUUUACAAUUCAAAAUUCUAUUAAAAGUAUAGAUGAAACUUUUAUACCUACUAAUUUUUUGGUCUAUUCUACAAGUUUAAAGAGGAGAUAUUUCUAGAGCUAGCAAAAAGAGCUACCUGAUUGUUUUCGCGUUAUGUCAAUUUUUUUAUUGUGUUAAAUUUAAUUUGACCCACAUAUGACCCAUUUAAUAAUCGUGUCAAAAUAUUGAAACUUGAACUUGAUACGGAAAAUAAAUGGAUGACCACACACACCCAUUUAAGAAUUAGGUAACUAUGUCACUUAAUACGACAUAACCCAAUAACUCGUUUAAUACAUAUUUAACAUAAUUUACAUUGUACAUUGUACACCCUUUUGUCAUAAAUUACACUAUUUUAUAUUUCUAAAUAAUAUUAUAUAUUGAUAUUAUAAAAAAAUAUCAAUAAUCUCAAAAUUUGUACACCUCCUAACUUUUAAAAAGAAAUAAAAAAACUAAUUAAUUAAUGUUUAUUUUAUUCAUUAAUAUAUCAUAAUCCUACAUGUAUUUUAUUUGUUAUUUUUUUUAUUUAAAAAGAUAGGAGGGUGGAUGAAACUCAAAUAAAUUUUUAGCCUAUCCUGAUCUUUCAAGUUUCUUAUUUAGGAGGCCAGUUAAAAAAAAUUACUUAGAAAGCUACUCCAUCAAUUUAACAAAUUUUAUUUAUUUAAUUAAUGGAGGUGUAGAAAAUAAAAGUAUCUGCAAGCACAUUGCAAUAGUGAAAGCAAUGUACCGGUGUUGCAACAUAACUGAAUCUUGAUAACCUAUCACAUAUUUUAAGUUUUAAUAUUGGUAGUUCACGGAUCGGUUUCUACUUCCACGAACAAUUAUUGAAGGAAAUGAGUUUUUUUUUUAAUGAAUAUUUAUAGACCCCGAUUAAAUAUUCGAAUAUAUAAUAAAAGAGAAACUGACAUAGAAAUGAGAAAGAUAUUUGGAGGAGGCCAAAAAAAAAAAAAAAAAUGCAACAGAGAAUUAGAUCAGCAACACAAGUAACUAAUUAAUUCAUCUAUACAUCAUAAUCCUAUUUGUAUCUUCUUCCUUCUACUAAUUUACAUAUAAAUUUGGUUAGAUAAAACAUAUUUUAAUACUCGGUCACAAGCGGUGGAUAUAGAAAAUUAAUUUAGAGGGGGUAAUACCAUAACGAAAAAUAAUGAUUCAUAACUAAAAUCAACCCCAACAUCAAAACUUAUUUACAAGAUUACGCCCAGUCAAAGGUAAUUUUUCCUAAAAACUAAUACGAAAUUAAAUAAAUUUAACUUUUAGUGGGUUCAAGUGCCCACGCAUUCUGAACGUAGAUCCACCCCUGGCCCCGACUGAAGCAUUUUUUACAAUAUGUACUCAGUUUAUCAACAGGAACAACCUUCCACUUUAAAUUAAAAUUUUCACUUAAAAAUGAUUAAUGUUAAUGAGGUUAGCAACAAAAAUGAGUUUAAUUAGAGAAUAUUAUAAGAGAAAUUAUAUUUUUUGACUUUUAAUAAAUUAAAAUAUUAUUAGUUGGUGGUGGUUUCACGUCAGAUUAAGACGUGACACUUUACUUAUGAGGUCGAGACAAUCGACUUAAACUAUUUCAAUGCAUUUGAAAUUUGCACUAAUGGCUAUCAUUCUUUGUCCAAAUUAAUACGAUAAUUAAUAACAUACAAUUGAAAUAAUUAAUACUAGCACUUGGCAAUAAAUAAAGCUCUUGUGCUUGAAUCGUCACACAUGAUCACUUCAUUCCUUUAUUUACUUUGCUACCACAAAUUUUGAGGCAUUAUAACUAAAUAAUAAUUGAAUAGGGCUUUGUGUUACUUGUUGUGCGCGCGGAAUGCGGAAUCAAGCACACCAAAUUAUUACAGAAAAAUAAAGGACACAAUUAUUUGACGUGGUUCGGUAAUUAAACUUACAUCCACGGAGGCAAGAAAGAAUAAUUGUUUAUUUAACAAUUAAUAGAGUACAAAUAUUUGAGUAACGAAUCUCACUUCUCAGAAACCUAAAUAUACCCAAUACUCUCACACUCUGCAGGAAAGAUAAAUUAUCCAAACACACUUCUCUCACUUCUCUAAAAAACUUAAAAAUUUAAAAACUUAACAAUUUUGGAAUGCUUUAGAAUAGAAGAAGUGCCAUCUUAUAGGAAAAAUAAUGAUACUAUUGCACCAACCUCUUUACUAUUCCACCUAACAUAAGCAAAUUGUCAAUAGUGUCCAUUUAACUUUUUAUUUUUUUUCUUCAAUUGUUUAGUAGCCCUUUAAAAAUCUGCGUGGUUUCUUGAAAUUUAGAUGCCACAUGCAUGACUUUUCAACACUAAUUACUACGAUAAUUAAUAUUAGCACUUGGCAAUAAAUAAAGCUCUUGUGCUUGAAUCGUCACACACGAUCACUUCAUUCCUUUAUUUGCUUUGCUACCACAGAUUUUGAGGCAUUAAAACUAAAUAAUAAUUGAAUAUGGCUUUGUGCGUCGAUGACGCCAGCAACAAGGGGACCACAAUUAUCACUUUUUAAGUUGCUUUUAAAAUUGAUUUUAAUAGUGAUUUGAUUAUUGUAGUGUUUUUAUUUUUAUAUUAAAAUUAAGUCGAUUUGUUAUAAUAAACUUAGUUGAGUUUAAUGGUAUUACUACAUAAAUUGAAUAGUCAUCAAAUAUUUUAAUGUUUUUAUGGCAAGUGUUGACGUGGCAUUUAUUUGUUGUAUGAUGGAUUUUAAAAUUUAUAAAAUUAUUUGUUAUUAAAUUACCCCCAGAUGCUGCAUCACCUGAAACUUAAUAAAGGGCAUGUAGCAUUGCCAUUACUCAACAUUCACUCUUAUGACUUUAUGACAUUAGAAUUAAAAUCUUUCGUACAUUUAAUUUGUUUGCUUCCAGAUUAAUCUUUAAAAAUAUUUUUUUCACAUUAUCAUGAAUGGACAAAACUCCAACGAAAAUAACUACGCAAGAGCAAUCUAUGCUAGUAUUAUAUGCCACGAUAUCUAUAACUUUGUCAGGUCUCAGGAUCGAUCAUUCUAAUUUUUACGCAGAACUUUUAAUCAAUGGACAAACACCUCACCGAGCUUGUCGGCAGCAUUACUACGAUGUAAAAUUGUACCGGAAUAUCUUGAAGUAUUAGUAGAAUAAUGAAGACUAUUUGGAGCAAUAAAAACAAAUAACGCAGAUAAAAAAAAUGGCUAAAAUUAUGUAAGUGAGCCCCAAAGUUUUUGCUAUUUCCAGGAAAUCCCAAAUUUGAAUGGACUAGAGGGAGGCACGUAAGAAAUACAUUUUCUUCCUAGACAAUGACAGCUAUGACAUCAAGCCACGUAUUGAAAUUAAGGUGUAAUUAUUCAGCCAAUGAGCCUUACACACCAAGAUGUAUAAAAGUCAAGAAAAUGAAAUUUUAUCCCAAUUAAAACACUUUCUGGCUGCAAUUGGCUGUUUCCAUUUGAAGUUAAAAAACAACAACGUUUCUUUCGUUUUGUGGGCGAUUCGAUUGAGCACGCGCCACGAGCUAGCUGGCUUCCAGUGCUUGCGUGUGACAAUAGAAGGCUAGUGAUUUCACUUUCGCUUUUUUUUUUUUUUCUUUUUUUUGGGGAAUCAAGAUAAAAGCCAAGAAAAUGAAAAUUGGGCUGUUUCCAUUUGAAGUUAAAAACAGUGUUUCUUUCGGGGCGUCAAUUUGAUAUUUGAAUGGACAGGCAAGUAAGAAAUACAAUUCCUUCAUAGACAAUGACAACGAGGACAUCAAGGCACAUCAUUAUAGUUUGUAGCCCAUCUACAUUUAAACGAUUAAUAAACAAGCUUAGGUGUGCCACUGCUAUUAUUAAUUAUCCCCUGAUCAUUAUAGUUUCUGAAACAGUAAAACAAAACGAAAUUGAAUACAUCAACGAGAUCGCAAUUAUCACUUGUUUAGUUGCGGUAUUUAACUUAAUUUUAAUCUAAUAUAUUUGUUAGUUAAACUUUUAAUAAUCAAAUAAUUUUGACUUAAAAAUAAAAUUAUAGAAAUUAUUAAUUAUUAAAAAUUCACACAUAGCUAUUGUUUUCUCUAUAUAUUGCAGUGUGUACGAUAUUGAGGGUUGAAGCCCAAAGCAUGCCCUAAAAUCCAGAUAAUAAUUAGAUCCGGGCCAAAUAUUCAUCAUUGUGUCGGCUGAUCAGUCGGUGGACAUCUCUAUUGAAAAAAUCUCUGACAUUUCUCUCGACAAACUUAUUACUAAAAAAAAAUCAGUGGUUUUGCCGUCUGAAUAAUGUAGAAAAAUUUGUCUGUGCAUUAAUCUAGAUGUUUGAGGUGAUUUAUACAUCUGUGAUAAAGAUUUAUAGGUUGACUUAUACGUCUGUGGUAUAGAUUUUAUGUAUUUCAUUACAAAAUGCUGGCCGUUAGAACCCUUUCUACAUCUAUUUAUAAGAUUAACGGGUGCCAGUUAUGCCAUUACAAAUUAUCCCCUCAUCAGAUAUUUCGUUAAAAUUCAUUCUGAAACACUAAAACUAAAUAAUCGAACAUGGCUUUGCGGGUCGAUGAUGCCAGAAGCAAUUCGACUGCAAUUAUCACUUGUUUAGUUUCUGUGCUUGCCGUGGUUUACUUGGCAUGGAAUGUGAAAAAAUCAAGGAAAGCAAAUGCUAAACUGCCACCAGGACCUCCCGGCUUGCCUGUAGUCGGAUACCUCCCAUUUCUCGGAACUACUGACUUGCACAAGAAAUUCACGGAAUUAUCCGGAGUUUACGGUCCGAUCUUCAAGCUCUGGCUCGGAAAUAAAUUAUGUGUAGUGGUGAGCUCACCUUCCCUAAUUAGACAAGUGGUUCGUGAUCAAGAUACAACAUUCGCGAACCGUGACCCACCGAAGGCUGCACUAGUGGUCUCCUAUGGUGGCAAUGAUAUUGCAUGGUCCAAUUACGGUCCCGAAUGGAGAAAGUUGCGCAAAUUUUUUGUGGGCAAGAUGAUGAGUAACGCAAGCCUUGAUGCUUGUUAUGCUCUAAGAAAACAAGAGGUUAAAAAUACUAUCAGGGAUUUGUAUAACAACGACAACAAAAUUGGCAAGCCCAUUGACAUUGGUGAAUUGUCGUUUUCAACAUUGGUAUGUGCUAUACAGAACAUGCUGUGGGGUGAAGCGCUUGAAAUAAGAGAGAAAGGGACCACUAAUCUUGGGGCUGGGCUAAAAUUUAAGCUGGCAGAACUCAUGGUGCUUGCGGGAACACCGAAUAUUUCGGAUGUCUUUCCAAUGCUUUCAUGGCUUGACAUACAAGGUAUAGAGAGGAGAGCAAAGAAGAUUUCACUCUGGCUUGAAAAUGUUAUAAAUUCUACUGUUGAACAGCAUAGAAACAAGGAGUCAACUGUUGAAGGUGAAGAAAGAGCGGGGAAAAAUUUUGAAGGAUCAAGGAACAAGAACUUCUUGCAGUUACUAUUGGAGCUUCAAGAAAAUGAUGACAGUGCUUCCUCAAUUAGCAUGAACCAAUUCAAGGCCGUACUCAUGGUAUGUUAAGUAACUAGCAACGAACAGUUAUACAAGCACAGUUGUAUAUUUGCAUGAGUGAUAUUUUCAACCUUUUUUUUUAAUUAGAAUUUUAUUGUCACCUUUUGGACAGGAUAUAAUUACGGCUGGAACCGACACCACAGCUACGAUGGUGGAAUGGACAAUGGCAGAGUUGAUGCAGCAUCCACAAGUAAUGAAGAACGUUCAGGAAGAAUUAGCUCAAGUUGUGGGCAUGGACAGUUGUGUUGAAGAAUUUCACCUGUCUAGAUUAAAGUAUUUAGAUGCUGUGGUGAAGGAAACAUUUCGUCUGCAUCCUGCAGUGCCUUUAUUAGUACCACGCAGAGCAAGCGAGAGUGGCAGCAUUGGUGGCUAUACCAUUCCCAAAGAUACAACUCUUAUGUUGAAUGUUUGGGCUAUCCACAGGGACCCUCACCUUUGGGAUAAUCCCUUAGAAUUUCGACCCGAGAGGUUUCUGAAUGUUGGUGUCGAGAGUAAGUUCGAUUACUCAGGUAACAAUUUUCAGUACUUGCCAUUUGGUUCUGGUAGAAGAAUGUGUGCUGGGAUUCCUCUAGCUGAGAGGAUGCUGAUGUUUGUUUUGGCUUCGUUAUUGCACUCAUUUGAGUGGGAAUUGCCAGCUGGCACAAAGCUAAACUUAUCUGAAAAAUUUGGGAUUGUCAUUAAGAAAAAAGAGCCUUUGGUUGCUAUUCCAACACCAAGACUAUCCAAUUCAGAGCUCUACCAUUAAGACAAAAUGGUUGUGAUGAUUUUGUUAAUUUUCCGAAGAUUUGUAUGUUAUUUAGUUCAAUCGUAAUAAAAUAUUUCAAAUAAGAGUCCUCCGUUGCUUUUUUUUUUUUUUUUUUUUCAACGGCAUAAUCUGUCGUCAUGCUUGUAUUUGGAGCUACUUUGGAAUAAUUAUGUUUGAAUUACAAUUUAUAAAUAUUUACGUUUUAAAUUUUUUAUAAGAGUCUAAAUUUAUACACGUUUAAUAUCCCGCUUCAUAGAUAUUUAACACAAUUUAUAUCAUACAUUGUAUACCCAUUUGUCAUAAAUUAUACUAUUUUGUAUCUCUAAAUAAUAUUACGUAUUGAUAUUAUAAUAUAUAUAUAUAUGUUUAUCAAAAGACUAUACCAUUCAAUAUAUAUUGAAAAGAGAACAAAGAAGAUUUUCUUAUGGUUUAAAAAUAUUAUGAAUUCUGCUGUUGAACAGUAUGGAAACAAGGUCUCUGUUGUUAAAGGUGAAGAAGCAACAGGGAACAAUAUUGAAGGAAGAAAUUUCACAUGUUUAGUUGCUGAAUUUGCCGCUGUAUUCUAUCGGUAGUAGAGUUUUUAUUUUUCUCUAUUAAUUUAAGUCAAUUUUCUAUAACAAAUUCGGUUGAGUUUAAUUGUGUUAUAAUAUAAAUUGAAUGAUAAUAGAAUUUUCAACAAAUAUUUCAAUAUUUCUAUCUCGAUUGUUGAAGUGCCAUUUAUUUGUUAUGCGAUCGAUUUUAAAAUUUAUAAAAUUAUUUGUUACUAAAUUGCAUCAUAUGCUAAAAUCACCUGAAACCUAAUUCCAUAACUAACCCUUUAUUUUUAGUUCUCAAGAAAUCUUGUAAGAACAAAAAUCUUUUAUAACAAAACUUUUACAACACAUUAAUUUGUAACUCAUUCCUGUGCGCGAAUCACUCUCAAUUUCCUUCAAUUGCUGUUUAACAAUCAUCUACUUAUCAAAAUUCAAGCAUAAUCUUUUUUUUUUAAUUUCUUCAUCAUUCUUUAAAAAAAAAAUCAGGAUAUGCUGUUAAAUUUUGAAAUAAAUAAAUUAACCAAAGUUGGUUGAUGUGAGUGGUUCAAUGAUGAGCAUAAUUUAUAUACAUAUUUUACCUUUAAUUAUAUAAUUAUUAGUUAUUUUUAUUAGUUAUUUUUAAUUAAUUGAAUUAUUUUAUUGCAUAGAGAAUUAAUUGGAGAUUGGGAAACAAAAAGUGCAUAAAGAAUAACAAGUUUGGGAAAGCAUCAAUCAAAGCCGUGACGCAAUUAAGAGUUUAUAGCAUAUGAAGCCAAGAGUAAUUUGCACUCAAAAAGAAUUUCAAUUAUUCAAGUGACCUGGACCUGCAUGGCAUUGUAAUGCAUGGAAAGCAACUUAAAGGGGCCCACACUUGGCUUUUACAAUUGGAAAAAGGAAUCCUAGUGCAAGCUUAAUUGAUGAGCACGUGAGUGAGAGCAAAGAAAAUUAAAAGGCCAAGCCUUUUGGCUUAAGGAAAUAACAAGGUCGGUGGGGCCCAUUUUAAAGAGUAAUAUAAAAGCAAGCUUUUGGCUUUUGGAGAGAGGAGCCGCGAGAGGAGGAAAACGCAAGACAAAGAGAAGAAAAUCUGCAGCAGUUCGGCUUCUAUGGUUGGUUUUAUCUCUUUUGUUACUCUUAAUUCAAAUAUGUCUAGUUAAUUUUCUUAUAUUAAAGUUAAGGAUGAAACCCUAUUCAAUGAAAUAAUUAUCUUUUUAUUUAUUUAAUUCCCAUAUAUGUUCUUUAAUGAUUAUGAUUUUUAUUUCACAUGAUUAAUUGGAUGUUAUUAAAAUUUUUUCAUCAAUUCUGUCAUGCAUUAUUGAUUGUUAGGAUUAAUAUUCAAUUAAAUCUAUACUUAGAUUUAUAACGUUUAUACAUGAUUAUCUUUGAUUCUAUGUCUUUCAUUAAAUUGUUUACAUGGAGUGCUUAGGAAAACUUUGACUCUUUGUUAUUCAAUAUGUUCACAUGGGAUACUUAGAUGUCAUACUAUUAAGCGGAAAAAGAACCUAUAUUAGAUUUAAUUAUUUGGGCUUAAUUGUUAUAUCCAUGAGAUGACACAAAUUGAUUUCGAGUUGUCACUCUAAAAUUAGAGAUUAAUGAAUAUUUAGAUAAUUACUAGUUGAAUAGCGGUGGAUUCUGAAACCUUGGUAAUUUCUAUCUUAUUGAAUUCUCCUUUACUUUAAUUGUUUUCUUAGUUUAAUUAAUUUAAUUUCUUUUAAAACUCAAUUUGCUUAACUAGGUUAGAAUUAAUAUUAAUUUUAGAUUUAAAUUAGACUUUUCAAUUUAUAACAAUCCAUGUGGGAUCGACCUCGUUACCACUACUUUAUUUCUAGAUUCGUGCACUUGCGAGUAUAUUAAAAUUUUCACAACAAGUUUUUGGCGCCGUUGCCGGGGAUUGUGCCAGAAAGUCAGUUUAAUCUAGGUUGAUUUGAUUCUUCCACUAGUUAUAAUUUAUGUUGUCUUUUAUUUUAUUAUUAUUUUUAAUUAACAAAAACACACAAAAAAACUUUUAUUUUUCUUUAAAUUCAUUGUUUGGUUGUUUGAUUUCUUUUAUUUUUUAAAUUUUGUUUAUUCUCAUUAUUGUUGGUUUAUUUUAUUUUAUUUUUUUCUUUCCUUGUCUAGUUAGUUUAUGAGUGUUUGGGAAUGUGAUUCAACAAAUCGUUUGGUAAAAGAGAGUCAAAAAUUGAUAGUAGUCAAGUUAGUUCUUCUGAAGUCAUGGAUGACCCAAAUAGAUUAUUGCCAAUACUUCCACCAGUGCAAGCAGAGAAAACCCUUAGAGAAUAUUUUUCACCACUUGCAGCCAACCAACCAUCUUGUAUUGUGUUGCCACAAACUACAGCAACACACUUUGAACUUUUUGAACUUAAGCCCUCAGUCAUCCAACUUUUACCAUCUUUCCAUGGGUUAGAGAGAGAGGAUCCAUAUUUGCACAUUAAGGAAUUUCUUGACAUAUGCUCUACAUUCCGUUUUCAAAAUUUUAAUGAUGAGUUAAUCAGGCUUCGUAUGUUAUCUUUCUCAUUAAAAGACAAAGCAAAAGCUUGGUUGAAUUCGCUUUCUGCUGGGUCUAUAACUACGUGGGAUGAAUUGAAUAAUAAGUUCCUCACCAAGUUUUUCCCUAUGUCUAAAACAAAUGCCCUUAGGAGAGAGAUAAGUGAUUUCUAUUAAAGAGAGGGUGAGCAAUUUUAUGAGUGUUGGGAAAGAUUCAAUGAUUUACUCCUCAAGUGCCCCCACCAUGGUUUUGAGAAAUGGAGACUUAUACAAUGCUUUUAUAACGGUUUAACCAUGUCGAAUCGUCAUAUGGUAGAGUCUAUGAAUGGUGGGAGAUUUUUGAACCUACAUGAAGGGGCUGCAUGGGAUUUCUUUAAUUCACUUUCUGAGAAUUCUCAACAGUGAGAUUUUUCAAGCCAAAGGGAAAAAUCAUCUCAAGUUUCUAGAAAGGGGUUAUAUGAAGUUAAGGAUGAUUUUGAUGUGAAAUCCACUCUAAUUACACUUUCUAGAAAAGUAGAUGCCUUAGCUCUGAACCAAUCAAUGAAUCAUCAUCCUAGUGUAGCUAAUGAGGUUUGUGCUAUUUGUUCUAACUUGUCUCAAACAGCACAAAACUGUCCAUCAUUACCAGUCUAUCCAGAGGCUUAUUCUGAGCAGGUACAUGCCUUACAAUCAUAUGAGAAAACCUCCAAUAAUACAUAUUCACUCACAUAUAAUCCUAAUUGGAGGAAUCACCCUAAUUUUUCUUGGAAACAAAAUCAAUCUUUGUCAAACCAAGGAGGACAACAAUUUAACAUGCCCAAUCAACAAUUUGUCCCUCCUAACCAAGUAUAUCCUCCUGCCCAACAACCUAUAUCUCAAUUUGUUACACCCCAACAAAGAAAACCUUCUUUAGAGGAUACACUUCAAAGUUUCAUUCAGUCAACCUAAUAAGCUUUUCAGUCAAACACUCAAGCUAUUCUAAAGCUUGAACAUCAAUUGGGUCAAUUAGCAACUACUGUAGCGGAGAAAGAAAAAAGAAAAUUCCCCAGUCAAUCAAUUCCUAAUCCUAAAGGAGUGCAUGAAGUUGGAUCGAGUUCAAGCCAUCAGCAUGAAGAAGCAAAAUCAAUUAUGACCUUGAGAAGAGGAAAAUUGUUUGACAACAAAGUGGAGGUUCAAACAAAGAAGACAUCUGAGCCUACUUCUUCAGAUCCAAUUACAUCACAAGAAUCAUCACCAAAUGAUCUUGAAGAGAGUGACCCGCUAGCUUACAUUCCCAAGGCUCAUUUUCCUCAAAGGUUAACAAAGGUAAAGAAAGGGACUUCAACAUGUGAGAUUAUAGAAAUCUUCAAGCAGGUAAGUAUAAACAUCCAUUUACUCGAUGCUAUUAAGCAAGUUCCUUCCUAUGCCAAGUUUUUGAAAGAUUUAUGCACUAAAAAGAGAAAUUUGCAUGUCACUAAAAAGGCGUUUUUAACUGAACAAACUAGCAAUUUACUUCAAUGUAAAAUGCCACCAAAAUUUAAGGAUCCUGGUUCUCCUACUAUUUCAUGUGUUAUAGGGAACCAAUGUUUUGAUAAAGCAUUAUUGGAUUUAGGUGCUAGUGUUAAUCUCUUACCUUAUUCCAUUUACAUGCAGCUUGGACUAGGUGAGUUAAAAUCAACUCCUAUUAUUUUGCAACUUGCUGAUAGGUCAAUGAAAAUACCUCGUGGUAUUAUAGAGGAUGUGUUGAUACAGAUUGACAAAUUUUAUUAUCCUGUUGAUUUUAUUGUUAUUGAUACUCAACAUGUACAUGAUCUUAAGAAACACACUCCACUUAUUCUUGGUCGUCCUUUCUUAGCUACAGCUGAUGCUCAUAUUAGUUGCAGGACUUGAAACAUGCAAUUGUCUUUUGGUAACAUGACCAUGGAAUUAAAUAUUUUUAAUGUUCCCAAGCAGGCACAAGAAGAUGAUGAAGUCGUUGAAGUAGAUAUGAUAGAAGCAUCAAUUGAUGACUCACUUAUUUCUAACCAUUGUGACAAUCCAUUAAUACCUUGCACAACUGACUCUGAUUUCUCUAUUGAUGUUGAUAGUGAUAUUGAAGAAGUUAAUGCUUUACUUGAUUCGACUCUUAUCAUAGAUCUAAUUAAGUGGAAAGAAAAGAUAAGAUUGAGCCACUUCCUCCUGAAGAGAAAAGUGCAACAUAGGUCACAUUCUGACAUAAAAAAGGUGGUAAGAUCUAAAACGCUUAAAUUAUUAGAUUUUUAUACUACUUUAGAUAACUCUCAGGAAAGCUUAGAACAGAAGAGAUCAAAGCAAUGCGAUAUUGAGGAGUUUCAUUACCAUCAUCCUUUUAUGGAUAAAAUGCUCCAGUGCUUAAUCAAUUAUGCUUUUUGGUAUUUUCUAUAUAAUUGCUUUAAUUUUCACCAAAUUCUUAUUGAUCCUGGUUGAUUUGUUGUUUACAUUAAUUAGUUAGUUAGUCGGAUUUUUUUAUUAUUAUUUAUAUUUCUUCUAACGUUUUCUUUUGAGUUGUCAUUCUUUUAAGUUUUCCUAGCUCAGUCAGGUGUGUUCUCUCCAACUUUCUCUUUUAUUAUUUAUGUUUUUAUUUUUCAUCUUUUUGCGUGCAUAUCUUUUAUUUAUGACACAUUGAGGACAAUGUUCCGAAUAAGUUUGGGGGUGGGAAUAAUGUUGCUUUGUUUGUUAAAAAAAACUAAAAAAAAAUUUCAAAAAUUCAAAAAAAAAUUGUGUUUUUUUUGUUUUUACGUGAAAAGCCAAUGAUAAAAACUUGAUUGACAAUGAAUAUGGUUUUUAGAAAGGGUUUAAUAUUGUCUUAAUUUAUACUUGAUUCUUAUGUUAGUUCCUCUUGAUUGAGAUUCUUUAAAAUAUAAGCACUAAUAUCAAUUCUUUCAUAAUUUUGACUUGAAAUUUGAGAUUGACGCAGCCUGAGUUGAGAAUUUUAGAUAGAGUAAAUGACUGUUUGUCUUUAUUCUUAUCUCCACAAUACAAAAUAGUAUACACAGGCACCAAAGUCAGAAAUAACUACCUAUAAUCCUUAAGAGUGAAGCUAUCCUUGAGUAAUUUAGGCCUAUGUACCACAAGUAUGUAGAGGAUAAUCUACCAUGAGAAGAAUGCUACCUUAAGGGGUAGAGUGAAAGCUCCUGACUAUGGUUAAAAAAAAAAGAAGAAGAAAAAGAGAAAGAAAAAAUCAAAUCAAGUGCAUGUGCUGAAAAAAAAAUCAAAAGAAAAUGCACAUAAAAGCCUGUGAAAAAAAAAUUGGAGAUUAAGAUGAUAAGAUUAGCUUGACCUACUCUUUUCUUUUUUUGAGGCGAAGGUUGUUGAUAUUGAAGAUUUUAGGAAUGAAUUUGAUUGAAUUGAUUUCACACACACACAACAAGAAUCGAAAGAGAGAUGGGAUUGAUUAUUGAAUUAAAGUUAGAACUUUGCCAAUAUUUGAAAUUUUGUUUGAGCUAUAUAAUUUAUGCAAUCUUUGAGGGUAUUUUCAUAUUUUAUUUAAAGUUUUUUUUUCUUUUUAUUUUAUUUUAUUUAUUUUUUAUUUUUUUAAAAUGAUGUUUGUGGGUGUCAUCACUGAAGCUCUCACGAGACUAUAACUCGUCCACUAGGGGUUUAAAGGCUUGUUGCAUACGCUAAAUGCAAUCGCGAUUACCUGCGAAAAUGGUUUAGUUAGGAUUUACUUUUUGUUUUGUUAUUUUUUUUUUUUUUUUUAGUUUUAGCUUUGCUCGAGGACUAGCAAAAUCUAAGUUUGGGGGUAUUUGAUGAGCAUAAUUUAUAUACAUAUUUUACCUUUAAUUAUAUAAUUAUUAGUUAUCUUUAUUAGUUAUUUUUAAUUAAUUGAAUUAUUUUAUUGCAUAGGGAAUUAAUUGGAGAUUGGGAAACAAAAAGUGCAUAAAGAAUAACAAGUUUGGGAAAGCAUCAAUCAAAGCCAUGACACAAUUAAGAGUUUAUAGCAUAUGAAGGCAAGAGUAAUUUGCACUAAAAAAGAAUUUCAAUUAUUCAAGUGAUCUGGACGUGCAUAGUAUUGUAAUGCAUGGAAAGCAACUUAAAGGGGCCCACACUUGGCUUUUACAAUUGGAAAAAGGAAUCCUAGUGCAAGCUUAAUUGGUGAGCACGUGAGUGAGAGCAAAGAAAAUUAAAAGGCCAAGCCUUUUGGCUUAAGGAAAUAACAAGGUCGGUGGGGCCCAUUUUAAAGAGUAAUAUAAAAGCAAGCUUUUGGCUUUUGGAGAGAGAAGCCGCCAGAGGAGGAAAACGCGAGACAAAGAGAAGAAAAUAUGCCGCAGUUCGACUUCUAUGGUUGGUUUUAUCUCUUUUGUUACUCUUAAUUCAAGUAUGUCUAGCUAAUUUUCUUAUAUUGAAGUUAAGGAUGAAAUCAUAUUCAAUGAAAUAAUUAUCUUUUUAUUUAUUUAAUUCCCAUAUAUGUUCUUUAAUGAUUAUGAUUUUUAUUUCACAUGAUUAAUUGGAUGUUAUUAAAAUCUUUUCAUCAAUUCUGUCAUAUAUUAUUGAUUGUUAUGAUUAAUAUUAAAUUAAAUCUAUACUUGGAUUUAUAAAGUUUAUACAUGAUUAUCUUUGAUUCUAUGUCUUUCAUUAAAUUGUUUACAUGGAGUGCCUAGGAAAACUUUGACUCUUUGUUAUUCAAUAUGUUCACAUGGGAUACUUAGAUGUCGUACUAUUAAGCGGAAAAAGAACCUAUAUUAGAUUUAAUUAUUUGGGCUUAAUUGUUAUAUCCAUGAGAUGACAUAGAUUGAUUUCGAGUUGUCACUCUAAAAUUGGGGAUUAAUGAAUAUUUAGAUAAUUACUAGUUGAAUAGUGGUGGAUUCUGAAACCUUGGUAAUUUCUAUCUUAUUGAAUUCUCCUUUACUUUAAUUGUUUUCUUAGUUUAAUUAGUUUAAUUUCUCUUAAAACUCAAUUCGCUCAACUAGGUUAGAAUUAAUAUUAAUUUUAGAUUUAAAUUAGACUUUUCAAUUUAUAACAAUCCCUGUGGGAUCGACCUCGUUACCACUACUCUAUUUCUAGAUUCGUGCGCUUGCGAGUAUAUUAAAAUUUUCACAACAUUCGGCACUCUCACUCCUUAAGAGAGGUCAGGGGUUCAAGCCUCGCUCUCGUAUGGAGUCACCACUUUGACCAGCACUUUACCCCUUACAGACCGACCCGGUGCGAGCAUGAAUUAGUCUGGGUUGUGGUACGGGCUUAAAGGUGCCUCCCACAAUUGAGACCCACUCAGGACCACCUCGUGGUUCGGACAAAAAAAAAAUUGAAAUAAAUUAUCUCAAAAUAAUUACUAACCAGAAAAAACAAAGGGGUUUAACUAGGUUAUGCAUACCUUUGAAAAUUAUAUGUUGAUCGAUAAGCAUGAUGAUCACGAUUGAGGAGUUUAAUUAAAAUUUAUAAGAUUUUAAAAUUAAUCAGGGUUAAAUUCUAAAUUUUAGAAAGAGAGGUUUUGUGAGAAUGCUGAAAGGGUGUUAAUAGUUCCACUCUUUUUUAAAAAAACCAUAGUCAUCAUUUUUCCCGAUUUCUUCUUCCCAUCUCCAUCUUAUUUAGAAAUUUCCCAGAGCCUUUGUUUCCCACCAUUCAUUUUUCUUCUUUCUAAUUUAAGAUUAUAGUAUUAUAAAAAUAAUUACUCACAUUUUAUCAAACACCUCCAUUAUACCAAGGCCUUGUUUUAGUAGUAGGCUUUUAUUAUCUCAAUAAAAUUGAAAAAACAAAGCUCAAUAAUAUUGGAAAAAAAACCUACCCAUAUUUGUAACUUUAAUUUAUUAUUCUCCAUAGACCUACUUUUUAGCUUUGAAUUUUGUUGGAGCCAUAUAUAAACAGAAUAUGUUGAAAUCAGCACAAAAAAAAAACUAAUUAUAUAAUUUUUGUUCCCAAGGACACGACUGUGUGAUUUUUAAGAAGUUUUGUUUGGCUGGCCACUUAGGUUUAAAUCUUGGUGGAGAUUAGGGGUUAAGAAAUAAAUUUGGACUUUGCACACCCCUUUAACUUUUAAAAAGAAUGAAAAAAACUAAUUAAUUAAUCUUUAUUUUAUUUAUUAAAUGUCAUAAUCAUAUGCAUAUUUUAUUUGUUAUCUUUCUAUUUAAAAGAUAGGAGGGCAAAUAAAACUGAAAUAAAUGUUUAUCCCUAUCUCCAUCUUUCAAGUUCCAUAGUUAGGUGACCAGCUAAAGAAAAUUAAUUGAAAGUUACUCCAUCAAAUUAAAAAAAAUUAUUUAUUUAAUUUGUGGAGAUGUAGAAAAUCAAACCCCAUACCUUUUCGCAUGCAAAAGUGUCAACCUGGUCUAGCUAUGUUGCAACAGUAAACAUAUUUUAAUACAUGACUAUCAUCUUUUAUCCUAAAUACUACUAUAACUAUGGGUUCAGUUAUGCUGUAACUGUGGUAUGGUACCACAGUUGUUUUCAACCAUUAAAUUCAACUUAUAUAACUAUGCAACUGUAGAUCUAACGGCUGAAAGCAACUAUGGUACCAUACCACAGUUGCAACAUAGUUUUGCCCCUAUAACUCAUAACAUUCAAUUGAAAUAAUAAAUGUUAACACUUGGCUAUAAAUAAAGGUUUUGUACUUGAAUCUUCAUGCAUGACCUUCAUUCCUUUAUUGACUUUGCUAACACAGAUUUUGAGGCAUUAAAACUAAAUAAUAAUUGACUUUGUGGGCCGAGGAUGCCAGCAACAAGGAGACCACAAUUAUCACUAGUUAAGUUACUCUAAUUGCCGUUGUCUUAUAUUCAUAAAAUAUUAGUAAUAAGAUUAUUGUAGAAUUUUUUUAUAUUAAAAUUAAGUCAAUUUGUUAUAACAAAUUUAGUUGAGUUUAAUCGUGUUACUACAUACAUUGAAUAAUAAUAGAAUUCUCGACAAAUAUUUCAAUAUUUUUAUCCCAAGCGUUGGAGUGGCAUUUAUUUGUUAGACAAUCGAUUUUAGAACUUAUAAAAUUAUUCGUUACUGAAUUGCACCAUAUGCUGCAUGACCUGAAACUUAAUAAACGGAACGUAGCGUUGGCAACAUUCACUGUCAUGACUUUGUGACAUUAGAAUUAAAUUUUUUUGCACAUUUAAUUUGUUUACUUCCAAAUUAAUAUUUAACAAAAUAUUUUUUCACAUUAUCAAUGGACAAAACUCCAACGAAAAUAACUAUACAAUAUAUGCUAGUAUUGUAUGCCAUAUCAUCUGUAAUUUUGUCAGGAUCGAUCAUUUUAAUUUUUAAGCAAAACUUUUUAUCAAUGGACAAACACCUCACACAGCUUGUCAGAGGCAUUAUUAUGAUGGAAAACUGAUAAACAGUGAACUCGAAACUCAAUUACUACAAGUCGUUUAGAGGAUUCAGUCUUGGAUGACUUGUCACUUGUGGAAUUCUUGAAGCCAGAACCGACAUAAUCUCAGUCGUCAUUCUGUCUUAAGUAAUACACAUGGUUUGCAUGUGUGUUGAAGCUGACUCUUUGCUUGGAUCAAGAAACGACGUCUUUGAGUGCCGUUUCUUAAACACACUUUAAAUCAGCUUGUGUCAAGCACGUGAGGUAGAGCUUUUUGAAUAGAUUUGGCGGGAAUGGUAGUUAGUGUAACAACCCAGAAAUAGAGGUUAAAAGGUGAAGGCUUUGUCAUCAUCUACACAUGAUUUGGGAAACAUUGAGAGUAGAGAAAAAGAUAGAGAGAGAAAGGGGUUAACAAGUUCUUGUUCUCUGUAAAUCGAUUUAUAUUCUUGUAAAGUUUGUGAUCUCAAUUAGUGAAAGACUGUUGCUUUGUUUCCAGUGGAUGUAGGCACCACUUCUUGGUGCUGAACCACUUAUACUUGGUGUCAUAUUGUUUCUUUAAUGCUUUGAUUCUUGCGUGUGAUUGUUGCUGGAUAAUCUGUGCUGUUAAUUCUCAAACCAUUGAUACAGAAUUAAUGUCUUGGGGAGAAUUUGGUUAGUCUUAUCAAAGCCGAAUUCACAACAAAUUGGUAUCAGAGCCCUCUUUUCUGUAUCAAGGUUCAAGAAAUGACUAACAAGGUGGAUCUUGAGAAGUUCAAUGGUCAGAAUGAUUUCAAUAUGUGGAGGAUCAAGAUGGAAGCAUUGUUAAUCACACAAGGUCUGGGAGAUGCCAUUGAUCCAGUCAUUAAGAGUGAAAAUGCAGAAGCCUAUUCUUCAAGAACUCCAGAACAGAUGGCUAAGAUUGAAAAAAAGGCAAGAAGCACCAUCAUCCUCAGUCUUGGUGACUUAGUGAUAAGGGAAGUUGCCAAGAAAAAGACUGUUGCUAGGCUCUGGGCAAAACUGGAACAAUUGUAUAUGACAAAGUCCUUAGCAAACAGGCUAUACAUCAAGAAAAAGAUGUUCUCACUGAGGAUGAUUGAAGGAGCAUCACUUGAUGAACACAUAGAUGAGUUUAAUAAAGUUUGUGAUGAACUGGAAACAAUUGAUGAAGGACUGAGUGAUGAGAGCAAGGCUUUGCUGUUAAUCAGUUCUUCACCAAAAUCAUAUGAACAUUUUGUGGAUGCCUUGUUAUAUGGAAGGCAAUCACUCUCCUUGGAAGAGGUUAAAUCUACUCUUGGUACCAAGAAGUUAAAAGAAAAACAAGAUAACUCAGAGAGUGAAUCAAGUGAAGGGCUGAUGGCAAGGGGCAGAUCUGAAAAAAAGGAGUACAAAGGAAAAAAACAAGGGAGAUCAAAGUCAAAGCAGAAACAUUUGAAGUGUUUUCACUGCCACAAAGAAGGGCAUUUCAAGAGGGAUUGCCCUGAGAGAAAAACAAAGCAAAAGGAAUCAAAAGACAAAUCUGGAAAUACAGCAAUAGCCACAGAAGAAACCAGUUUUGAGAUAGCUGAAGUCCUCAUUGCCACAAAAGAAAAAAACUCAAGGUCAGUGGGUACUAGACUCUGGAUGUACUUUUCAUAUGAGUCCAAAUAGAAAUUACUUUACUACAUAUCAGUCCUGUGAUGGGGGUAUGGUGCUGAUGGGAAAUAAUUCAGUUUGUAAAGCAGUUGGGAUUGGGACUGUAAGCCUUAAGAUGUAUGAUGGCAUGGUUAGAGAACUAACUCAGUUUAGGCAUGUUCCUGAGCUUAAAAGGAACCUAAUAUCUAUUGGCAUGCUUGAUCAAACUGGAUGUGUCAAUAAGGCUGAAAAUGGGUCAUUGAAAGUUAUCAGAGGCUCAAUAGUCAUAAUGAAAAGUUCCAAGCAAAAUGGUUUGUAUGUGUUGAAUGGACAUACAACUGUUGGAGAGGCAAGUGUCACUGAGAAGAGUGAAGACAAAGCAAGACUAUGGCACUUGAGGUUGGGGCAUAUGAGUGAAAGGGGAUUGAAGGAGCUUCAAAAGAAUGGGGUGUUUGGAAGUGACAAGCUAAGUUCUUUGGGGUUCUGUGAAGACUGUAUCCUAGGGAAGGCUUCCAAUCUCAAGUUUGAAUCUGCAGUUCAUUCUACCAAAGAGAAGCUUGCAUAUAUACACUCUGAUAUGUGGGGGCCUGCACAGGUAAAUUCUCUUGGUGGCUUUAAGUAUUUCUUAUCCUUAAUAGAUGACUAUUCAAGGAUGGUUUGGGUGUAUGUACUCAAAACCAAAGAUGAAGCUUUGGAAAAGUUUUAGAGGUGGAAAAUUCUGGUAGAAACACAGACAAGUUUGAAAGUAAAAGCUCUAAGAACAGAUAAUGAAUUGGAAUUCUGCAACAAAGAGUUUGGAGACUUUUGUAAAAGACAUGAGAUUAUGAGGCACAAAACAGUCAUACACACACCUCAGCAAAAUGGUUUUGCUGAGAGAAUGAACAGAACCUUAAUGGACAAGGUGAGGUGUAUACUGCUAUACUCAAAGCUGCCUAAGUCACUCUGGGCAGAGGCCUUAAACACAGCAUGUUACUUGGUAAAUAUAAGUCCAUCUACAGCAAUAGAAUGCAAAACACCUAUCGAGCUAUGGUCUGGAAGGGUUGCAGAUUACUUUAAACUGAGAAUCUUUGGAUGUGUUGCUUAUGCAUAUGUCAAACAAGGCAAAUUGGAGCCAAGAGCUUUAAGGUGUAGAUUUCUAGGAUACCCUGAUGGAGUUAAAGGCUAUAGGCUAUGGUGCAUUGAUUUGAAGCCACCAAAAUGCAUUAUCAGCAGGGAUGUAACUUUCAAUGAGUCAGAAAUCUUGAACAAAUCCAAAACCACUUAAUCCAAAGAUCAUAUAUCAGAAACAAGACCUGGGAGUGUUCAGUUUGAGGUGGAGUCCUAUGAACAAGAUAGGACUGAAUCAGAAACUGAAGGAGAUUCAGGAAGGGUUACUGAUGGAUUUGAUGUUGUUCAGGAGUCAGAGCCAGCUGAGAAUGAAGAUAAUUCUUAUCAGUUGGUCAGGGAUAGAAAGAAGAGAGCUGUAAGACCACCUAAGAGGUAUACAAUAGCAGAUUUCAUAGCUUAUACAUUAACAGUUGCACAAGAGGUAAAUGAGGAAGAGCUAAGAACCUAUAAAGAAGCUAUAAACAGCAUGGAUAAGAUGAAAUGGAAGGAGGCUAUGGAUGAGGAAAUUGAAUCACUAAUGAAAAAUGGAACUUGGAAGCUGAUAGUUAGACUAGAAAAAAGGAAGACUGUUAGCUGCAAAUGGAUCUUCAAAGUUAAGGAAGGUAUAUCUGAUGCUGAACCUAGUAGGUUUAAAGCUAGGCUGGUAGCAAGAGGCUUCACACAAAGAGAGGGGAUUGAUUUCCAUGAAAUCUUCUCUCUAGUUGUGAAACAUGCCUCCAUCAGAGUCAUCUUAGCUUUAGUUGCCAUUCAAGACAUGUACCUGGAGCAUAUGGAUGUUAAAACAGCCUUCCUGCAUGGUGAAUUACAAGAAGAAAUUGUAAUGGAACAGCCUGGGGGGUAUGUGGUGUCUAGUAAGGAAAAUCAUGUGUGCUUACUAAAGAAAUAUUUAUAUGGAUUAAAGCAGUCUCCUAGGCAAUGGUACUUGAAGUUUGAUAGUUUUAUGACAAAACAUGCCUACAAGAAAUGCAAUUAUGAUUGUUGCGUGUACUUUAGGGACAUUGGUGAUGGAAAGAUGAUUUAUCUUAUGCUGUAUAUGGAUGACAUGCUUAUAGCAUGUCACAGCAUAGAUGAAAUCAGUCAUUUAAAGAAUCUCUUGAGCAGUGAAUUCGAUAUGAAAGAUCUUGGAGCUGUAAGGAAGAUCUUAGGUAUGGAAAUUAUCAGAGACAGGAGAAGGAAGCUUAUGUUUUUAACCCAACAGAGCUAUGUUAAGAAGGUGUUGCUUAGAUUUGGGAUGCAUGAAUCCAAGUCUGUUCAAACACCUUUGGCAAAUCACUUCAAGCUGUCUGCUGCACAUUGUCCACAAACUGAUGCAGAGCAAGGAAAAAUGGCAAGGAUACCUUACUCCAGUGCAGUUGGGAGCCUCAUGUAUGCCAUGGUUCUCACUAGACAUGAUAUCUCACAUGCUGUGAGUAUAGUGAGUAGAUUCAUGGCAAAUCCAGGUUAUGAGCAUUGGAGGGCAGUCCAGUGGAUAAUGAGGUACCUGAAAGGCACUAUGGAGUUUGGUCUGCUAUAUGGAGGGUUAAAACAGGAAGGGCACAAGCUGGUGGGGUAUGUUGACUCAGACUUCGCUGGAGAUCUUGAUAAAAGGAGGUCUCAGACAUGUUUUAUAUUCACUUUGGGAGGCUGCACUGUGAACUGGAAAGCUACUCUGCAAAGUGUGGUAGCUUUGUCCACAACUGAAGCCGAAUAUACAGCAGCUGCAGAAGCUUUUAAGGAAGUCAUCUGGUUAAAAGGAAUGGUCUCAGAGUUAGGAGCAAAACAAGAAACAGUUGAAGUAUACUGUGAUAGCCAGAGUGCAAUACAUUUGAGUAAAAACCAGACCCAUCAUGAAGGAACAAAACAUAUUGAUGUAAAGCUUCAUUUUGUAAGACUUGAAGUUUCAAAGGGAACUGUGAAGAUGCUCGAGGUUCACACUGAUCAAAAUCCAACCGAUAUGUUGACUAAAGCUGUGCCUUCUGCCAAGCUCAACUUCUGUUUGAGCUUAGCAGGAAUUUGCAGUUUCUGAUCAGCUGCAAAAGAAAGGGAAUAAAGUAUACAGGAGUAGCUAGAGUUCAGAGUUCACACUGAUUAAAAGGUGCAGGCUUUGUCAUCGUCUACACAUGAUUUGGGAAACACAGAGAGUAGAGAAAAAGAUAGAGAGAGAAAGGGGUUAACAAGUUCUUGUUCUCUGUAAAUCGAUUUCUAUUCUUGUAAAGUUUGUGAUCUCAAUUAGUGAAAGAUUGUUGCUUUGUUUCCAGUGGAUGUAGGCACCACUUCUUGGUGCUGAACCACUUAUGCUUGGUGUCAUAUUGUUUCUUUAAUGCUUUGAUUCUUGCGUGUGAUUGUUGCUGGAUAAUCUGUGCUGUUAAUUCUCAAACCAUUGAUACAGAAUUAAUGUCUUGGGGAGAAUUUGGUUAGUCUUAUCAAAGCCGAAUUCACAACAAAAACUGUAAUGGUAUAUCUUGAAUUAUUGGUAGAAUAGUUCUUUGGAGCAAUAAAAACAGAUAAGACAGAUGAGAAAAUUGUCAAUACCCCACCGCAAAAGCAAAAGAAAACAAGGAAAGGAGACAAAAGAGGAAGAAGAAAAAGAAAAAAGAACGAAGAAAAAAAUGGUGCCGUGCGGUAUAGGCAAGAAGAAAAAAUAAUAAAAAAUAAUAAAAUAAUAGUGCACAACAAUCAUUUGAUUGCUAUAAAUAAAAGGCGUUUCCCUCAUUUUAUUCAUCGAAUUCUUCAGUUCCUUUCAAGCGAUUUAAGAGUCUAGUGAUUUGAGAGUUUGGGUGUAGUAUGAUUUUGGGUAGUGAGCUAAAAUACUACAAUACUUGUAACUCAUUUUUAUUAGUAAAAUAUUUUCCUUCUGACUUCGCCCGUGGACGUAUGCUAAAAGCCGAAUCACGUAAUUUCUGGUGUCCCUAUGUGAUUAUGUGUCUCAUUAUUUCUUAAUUUCACUUUAGUUGCGUGUCUGCGACACCCCUCAAUUUAUUAACAAAAAAUGGCCAAAAUUAUAUAAGUGACCCAAAUUUUUUUGUUAUUUCCAAGAAAUCCCCAAUCUGAAUGGGCUAGACCAGAGGGAGGCAAGUUAGAAAUACAUUUCCUUCAUAGACAAUAACAGUGAUGAGUCGAUGACAUCAAGCCACGUCGGUAUCAAUAUUGAAUUAAAGGUGCAAUUAUUCAGCCAAUGAACCUUACACAUCAAGAUAAAAGUCAAGAAAAUGAAAAUUUAUCCCAAUUAAAACACUUUCUGGCUGCAUUUAGUUGUUUCCAUUAGAAGUUAAAAACAACGUUUCUUUCGUUUUGUGGGCAACUCAACUGAGUUAGCUGGCUUCUAGUGCUAGUAUGUGAAAAUAGAAGGCUAAUGAUUUAUUUAUUAUCUUUUGACAAAAUUAUUAAAGAUAUAAUAGAUUUUCUAUGAUACAAGUGAAAAAUCACAUCAACAUAGCUUUCAAUCUACAGCAGCUAGCGUUUACCAAACACUUUGUUGUAGCUUUUAAGCUAUAGCUGCCCAACCUCAAUCUCAAACGCACCCUUAAUAGGUUGAUUGAAUUUGUGAGAUAUGGAUUCCACAUAUCUCAUGACCUAGUAAUUAUACAAGUGGUUCGUGAUCAAGACACAACAUUUGCUUCCGGCCUAGUGACCCAGCAAUCGCUGCACUGGUCGCCACCUAUGGUGCCGACGAUAUUGCAUGGUCCAAUUGUGGCCUUGAAUGGAAAAAGUUGAGCAAAUUAUUUGUGGACACGAUGAUAAGUAACGCAAGCCUUGAUGCUAGUUAUGGUCAAAGAAAACAAGAGGUUAAGAAUACUAUCAGAGAUAUUCAUAACAACAAAAAGGAAAAAAAAAAGGCAUUUGCAAGCCCAUUGAUAUUGGUGAAUUGUCGAUUUCAACUUUGGCAUGUGUAAUCCAGAACCUGCGCGCUGUGGUAUGGCGCUGGCACGCUUGCAUUAACGAGGGGACAAGUCUUGGGGCUGAGCUAACAUUUAAGCUCGCAGAACUCAUGGUGCUAAUGGGAACACCAAAUAUUUUUUUGACAUAUUUUGGUGCUUUCAUGGUUUAAUUCAAGGUAUAGAAAGGAGUGUUGAGAAUGUCAAAUAAAACGGCAUUGAAUGGAAGUUGUCAAAGACACGAUCCGCACCGAACGGCAACGACACGGUUGCUAAAAAUCCUUCCAUAAUAUGCAUAUCUAAUUUUUUAAAAAGUGUAACCUCUGCAUUUAUAAAUAUACUCAAUGUAUAAUGUUUUACUUAAGAAAUGAAAAACUUGUUUGUUCAAGGAGAAUAAAGAAAAUUUUUCUAUGAUUUUUUUAUGGUUUGAACAAAGAAGGUUUUAAUGAGUAUUAUAGACCUCGAUUGAAUGUUCGAAUGUAUAAUAAAAGAGAAACUGUCACAUAAAUGACAAAGAUACUUGGAAAAAAAAAAAGGGCAGCAAUAGAGAAUUAGAUUCGACUGCACAAAUAACUAGUUAAUUCAUCAAUACAUCAUUUUCUUGCUAGAAAAUGACAAUUAUGACAGCAAGCCACGAUAGUGUCAAUAUUGAAAUUGAUUUGCAAUUAUUCAGCCAAUGUGCCUUACACGUCAAGAUAAAAGUCAAGAAAAUGAAAGUUAAUAUCAAUUAAAACACUUCCUGGGCCGCAUUUAGCUCCAGUUUUUGUGGUAGGAAAACAAAGUUUUGUUUUAAAUUCACAUGGUGUGCACUUCCUAUAUAAAUCUAGAGUUGUGUCCCACGUUGAACAAUAAAGGAAAGUCACCUAAAUAUACAUGUAGGAUAAGUUACUUUAUUUAGUAAGUUUGUAUUUUCUUCUUUCUUCUAGUUUACAUAUAAAUUUGAUUAGAUAACUUAACACAUAUUUUAAUACUUGAUCAGAAGCCCUACGUACAGGUGGAUCUAGAAACUUGAUUUCUAAGAGUAAUACUAUAAUAAAAAAAUAAUGAUUCAUAGAACCAAUAUCAAAAUUUGUUUACAAGAUUACCCCCACUCAAAGGUAAUUUUCAUAGAAAUUAAUAGGAAAUUUAAUUGUUAGUGGGGUCAAAUUGCCCCCACACUCUGAAUGUAGAUCCACGCCCGACCCUGAGUCAAGUAUAUUUUGCCACAUAUACUCUGAAUGUCGGCAGGAAAAAUCUUCCACUUUAGUUUAAAAUUUUCACUUAAAAUUUAUUUACGUUAAUAAAGUUGGUAAAGGAAAUGAGUUUAAUUAAAGAAUAUUAUAGGAGAAAUUCUAUUGUUUGGCUUUUAAUAAAUUAAUUAAUAGGUUUAAAAAGAUUAAUAUACAUCAAAAUAUUAUUAGUUGGUGGUGGUUCCACAUCGGACUAAGACGUGGCACCUUACUUGUGAGAUUAAGACAAUCAGGCUUAGACUAUUUAAAUAUGUUUGAAGCUUAGAUGGCACCGCUUCAAUUUGCAUUAAUGAAUGUCAUUCUUUACCCUAAUUACUACGUAAUUGAUAACAUGCAAUUGAAAUAACUAAUAUUAGCACUUGGCUAUAAAUGAACUAAAGGCCGUGCAAUUGAAUCUUUACUUGAUCACUUCAUUCCUUUAUUUUGCUAACACAGAUUUUGAGAUAUUAAAACGAAAUAAUAAUUGAAUCUGGCUUUGUGGGUCGAUGAUGCCAGCAACAACGAGACCACAAUUAUCACUUGUUUAUUUGCUGUAUUUGACGUUGUUUCAUAUUGGUAGUAAUAACUAAUAAGGUCGUUGUAGAGUUUUUAAUCUUUUUUUUUAUAUUAAUCACGAGGUAUCCUGGGGAGGGCCCCAACUGUGGGAGGCACCUUUAAGCUCGUACCACAACCCAGACUAGAAGUCCCCGCUCGAACCGGGAGGCACAGUUUUUAAUCUUUUUUAUAUUAAAGUUAAGUCAAUUUGUUAUAAAUAAAUAAAAAAUUGGUUGAGUUUAAUUAUAUUGCUAUGUACAUUAAAUAAUUAUAAUAUUCUCGAGGGAAAAAGACACCUAGAACCUCAAGGUUUGGGGAAAUGGUCACAAAAACUCCUAAGUUUUAAAAAAGGAACACUAAAAUCUUUUUUUACCCAUAAUACCCUUUGACUAUAGUAAUUAGAAAAUUGACUUUAAAGGUUUUUAAAUAAUACAAAUUUAAUAUAAAUCAUAUAAUCUAUCUAGUACACUAAUAAUAUUAAAUUAUUUUUUAUAUUUAAAAUAAUGUUAAAAAAUUUAAAUUAUUAUAUUUAUUUUAAUAAUAUAUUUAUAAAAUUAUAAAGAUUUUAAAUAAAUCUUUGGAUUGAAUAUAUUUUACAAUUAAAAGUCUUCCUAUUAAUAAUAUUAAAAUUAAAUUUUAAGUAAUAUAUAUUCAAAAUAUUUUUAAUUUAAUUUUAUUUAUUUUAAUAUUAUGUUUCUAUCUAUUAUUAAAAAUUACUUUAAUAUAAUAAAAUAGGUCUAAUAGAUUGAAAAAUAUGAAAAUAUUUUUAAAAUUUUAAAUUAUUUUGAAAUGUAUAUAUUAUUACAUUUAUUUCAAUGUCAUAUUUCCAUUUAUUAUAAAAUUUUGGGGUUAUUUUUUUGGGAAUUUAUAGAGUCAAAGAGCAUUAUGGUUAAAAAAGAGUCUUGGUGUCCCUUAUUGAAAACUUUAGAGUUUUUGUGACCAUUUUCCUAAAUCUUGGGGGUGUUGAAGUGGCACUUAUUGUAAGAUUGAUUUUAAAAUAUGUAAAAUUAAUUUUAUUACAUUACCAUAUGCUACAUCACCUGAAACUUAAUAAAUGGAACGUAGCAUUACUCCACGUUCACCGUUAUGACCUUAUGACAUUAGAAUUAAAAUCUUUCGUACGUUUAAAUUGUUUACUUCCAAAUUAAUCUUUCGUAAAUAUUUUGUACAGAUCUUAUCGGAGUUAGCGUGUUCAUUACAGUGUUUCUUUUCUUUUAUCCUUUCUUUUGAAACGUAUUUCCUGUGGACAAGGAAAGCAAAUAAUACCCUGCCACCAGGACCUCGCGGCUUGCCUGUAAUCGGAUACCUUCCAUUUCUCGGAAUUACUGACUUACACAAGACAUUCACGGAAUUAGCUGGUCUAUAUGGCCCGAUCUUCAAACUCUGGCUUGGCAACAAAUUGUGUGUAGUGGUUAGCUCGCCUUCAACUAGUUCUAUAAGAAUAUCCCUUUUAAGGGAUUCUCUCUCUGCAAAAUUUUUUUAUCUUCUGGUGCAUAAUAAAAACUUAUGCCACUUCAUUAACCACAGAUAUCUUUUGAGGAAACGAUGUUUCGUUUUCUUUUGUUUUUUCCUUCCUAAUCCUCGCAUAUCGUGUGAAGGCUAAUAUAUCCAAGAAUCUAAAUCUCUGUAAAUCUUUUUCUAUCCAAAUCUACAUAAUAAUUUAAUCCAUGCACAAUAUCUAUAAUUAUAUCGGCUGUCGGCUGAUUUCGUGGAGGGGGCGGCAGUUCAAAUUUUUUACGUGCAUGUUGGAUGGACGUCUCUAUUAAAGGAGAGCCACCACUUGCAUGGUAAUUUUUUUAAAUAAAUAUAUACAUUUCAAAAUAUUAUUUCAUUGUUGUAUAGUUAACAUGUCACCUUAGAUGUAUUUUAGAACUUCUCCUAUUAAAGAUAAUCUCAUGCAGUGAUACUUCUCGUGAUCUAAUCAUUAGUAGAAUCUAUAAUUUCGCUACUGUAAUAAAAUCUGUCCCUACCCUAUAUGAAUGUAGAUAUUUGACGCGAUUUGUAAUUGCUUCCGACAGGAAAACAGCAAUAGUUUAAUUGAAAUUUGUGGUAUGGAUUCCACGAAUCUUAUGACAGAAUACUGACCACUCCAACCCUAUCCACAUUUACACGAUUAAAACACAAGCUUAGAUGUGACAAUGCAUUUGUCACUUUUGUUCAAAUUCAUCCUGAAACACUAUACACUAAAUAAUCGAAUAUGGCUUCGUGGGUCGAUGAUGCUAGCAGCAACGAGACUGCAAUUAUCACUUGUUUUGUUGCUGUACUUGUCGUGGUCUAUUUCGCAUGGAAUGUAAACAAAUCAAGUAAAGCAAAUGCUAAAUUGCCACCAGGAUCUCGGGGCUUGCCAGUAGUCGGAUACCUCCCAUUUCUUGGAACUACUGACUUACACAAGACAUUCACGGAGUUAGCUGGAGUUUAUGGUCCGAUCUUCAAGAUUUGGCUUGGGAAUAAAUUGUGUGUAGUGGUGAGCUCGCCUACCCUAGUUAAACAAGUGGUCCGUGAUCAAGAUAUAACAUUCUCAAACCGCGACCCACCGAUCGCUGGAACUGUGACCACCUACGGUGGCAAUGAUAUUGCACUUUCCAAUUAUGGUCCCGAAUGGAAAAAGUUGCGAAAAUUAUUUGUGAGCAAGAUGAUGAGUAAUGCAACCCUUGAUGCUUGUUAUGCUCUAAGAAAACAAGAGGUUAAAAAUACUAUCAGGGAUUUGUACAACAACAAUAAGGAUAAUAUUGGCAGUGGCAAUGGCAAGCCCAUUGACGUUGGUGAAUUGUCGAUUUCAACUUUGGUACGUGUUAUGCAGAACAUGCUGUGGGGUCAAGCAUUGGAAACAAGAGAGAAAGAGAUUACUAAUCUCGGGGCUAAUCUUGCAGAACUCAUGGUGCUACUGGGAACACCAAAUAUUUCGGAUAUUUUUCCAGUGCUUUCAUUGCUUGACAUGCAAGGUAUAGAGAGAAGAGCUAAGAAGAUUUCUCUAUGGUUUGAAAACAUUAUCAAUUCUGGUGUUGAACAGUAUAGAAACAAGUUUUCUGUUGUUAAAGGUGAAGAAGCUGCAGCAGGAAAAAAUAUUGAACGAUCAAGAAAUAAGGACUUCUUGCAGUUACUGUUGGAGCUUCAGGAAAAUGAAGAUAGUGCUUCAUCUAUUAGCAUGAACCAACUAAAGGCCGUGCUCGUGGUAUGUUAAGCAACUAGACACAAAAAGUUGUAAAAGCACAGUGAUAUAUUUGCGCGAGGCCGCGAGUGAUGUUUUGCCUCGAGAACUCUCAAUUUUAUCUUACGGUAAAAAAUGUUUUUCAACUUUUUUUAAUUAGAAUUUUAUUGCAAUUUAUUUAACAGGACAUAAUUGUGGCCGGAACCGACACCACAACUACGAUGGUGGAAUGGACAAUGGCAGAGUUGAUGCAACAUCCACAAGUAAUGAAGAAAGUUCAAGAAGAAUUAGCUCAAGUUGUGGGCAUGGACAGUUGUGUUGAAGAAUAUCACUUGCCUAAAUUAAAUUAUUUAGAUGCUGUGGUGAAAGAAACAUUUCGUUUGCAUCCUGCGUUGCCCUUAUUGGUACCUCGCACGGCAAGCGAGAACAGCAAUAUUGGUGGCUAUACCAUUCCCAACGACACUAAUUUUAUGUUGAAUGUUUGGGCUAUUCACAGGGAUCCUCAACUUUGGGAUAAUCCCUUAGAUUUUCGACCUGAGAGGUUCUUGAAUGAUGAUAUCAUAAGCAAAUUCAAUUACUCGGGUAACAAUUUUCAGUACUUGCCAUUUGGUUCUGGUAGAAGGAUGUGCGCUGGCAUUCCUCUAGCUGAGAGGAUGUUGAUGCUUGUUCUGGCUUCGUUGUUGCACUUGUUUGAGUGGAAAUUGCCCCCGGGCACAAAGCUAGACUUAGCUGAAAAGUAUGGGAUUGUCAUGCGGAAAAAAGAGCCUCUGAUUGCUAUUCCAACACCAAGGCUACCAAAUUCAGAUCUCUACCAGUAAGAUCAAAAUGGUUGUGAUGAUAUUAUUUCCCAUUGUAUUGGAAUAUUUUUGUGUGAUUUGAAGUUCAAUCAUAAUAAAAUAUUUUAAUAAAAUGUCCUCGGUUGCUAAUUUUUCAAUAGUAUACUCUAUCAUCGUUUCUAACUGUCUUUUAGAGCCAUUUGGUCUAAUUUAUUUUUGAAUUAAAAUCCAUAAAUAUUUAAAUUUUUGAAUCAUAUUAAGAAUUAUCUGGAGUGUAUGGUCUGAUCUUCAAGUUCUGGCUUGUAAACAAAUUAGAGUUCUGAUAUUUGCCCCGGGUCAAACCCCGAAAUUAAAUAAAACGGCGUCGUUUUGUUUUUUUUUUUUUUUUUUUCUUUUUUACUUCUUCCAAACGUUGCCAUUUCACUUGUCAUUUGCAAGUGACUCCAUUGAUCCUUAGUUGAAACAGAGUUACACCGUAAAUCUCUUCCUCUUCGUUUCUUCGUUUCACCAGGGAACGAGACAGAUAAAAUCCAGCCAUUCUUCGACAUAACAAGAUAUCGAUUAGAAUCCAACGACAUAACUAUAAACCAUGACAUUGCGCUUGAUUUUGCGAAAUACCGAUUAAGAACCAGUAACUUUGAAUCCAAUGACCGUUAAGAGUUUGAAAUUGGUUUCAAAUGACUAAUGAGUUAUCAGAUUUCUUUGCGUCUACAUUUUCCUUGAAGGUUUCUCAGCAGCCAAACAAAUACAAAGCAAAUUGCAGAAGAAACACAUUUUGUUCCAAUGAAAAAUGUACGGAAACAUUUUAAAUAUGGAAAAUUACCUCAAAAUGAAGGCUCGCAAGAGAUUCGAGCAACAAAUUAGAUCAAAGGAACCGGCGCUGAGCAAGAAAGUGAGCUCAAAGAUUCCGAAACACAAACGUAAAUUCACAAAAAUGCAAAUCUAUGAUGAACGCCAAGAUCAAAAUUUUCGAAGAAAGGGAGCUGAAAAAAUAAAUGAAACGUCAAACUAGAUGACAAUGGAUUUGCUUCUUCAAAGGAGACAAUGAAAUUGUUACUAGAGACAGCUAGAGAAAUAGAGAGAGAGAGAGAGAGAGCUUGAAUUGGCUGUACCCCCACCAGAAAGUGGGUAGUGCCUUUUCCACUUGGACUUGAUAUGCGAAUCUGAAAAAAUCUGAACGAAGGACUGACUCAUCCCAGCUCGAAAGCAAACCAAGCUAGGACUGACUGAAAACGUUGCCGUUUGGAGAAGUUAAAAAAAAAAACUAAACAAAACGACGCCGUUUUGUUUAGUUUCGGGGUUUGACCCGGAAUUUGACCCGGGGCAAACAUCAUUUUCCAACAAAUUAUGCAUGGUCGUGUACACGCUUUCCCUAAUUAAGCAUGAGGUUCGUGAUCAAGGCACAACAUUCACUCCCUGCGACCCAACAAUCGCUACAUUGUUUGCCACCUAUAGUGCCAACGAUUUUGCACGGUCCAAUUAUGGUCCCCAAUCGAAAACGUUGCGCAAAUGUUUUCUGGGCAAGAUGAUAAGUAACGCAAGCCUUGAUGCUUGUUAUGGUCUAAGAAAACAAGAGGUUAAUAUAUAUAUAUAUAUAUAUAUAUAUAUAUAUAUAUAUAUAUAUAAAUUGGCAUUGUCAACUUUUGUAUGUUUUAUUCAGAACCCGCUGUGGGUUGACGCUAGCAUGCUUGCGUUAGGAGACGAGGGGACCAAUCUUGGGGCUGAGCUAAAAUAUAAGCUUGUAGAGAUCAUCUUGCUAAUGGUAAUGUUUUCCGAUGCUGGUUUAAUUCAUGGUAUAAAAAGGAGAACAAAAAAGAUUUUUCUAUGCUUUGAAAAUAUUAUAAUUUUUAUUUUAUAAUUUUUAAUAAAAUCUCUCAUUGAUAGCCAAACAAUUAAAAUUUUUGUAAAGCUUUUGUGGACUUUUGAUCGCGUAUGGUGCCAAUGUAUUGCGUGGUCCUAUUAUGGUUCCAAAUGGAGAAAGUUGCACAAGUUUUUUGAGUACCAGAAGAUCAGUAAUGUAAGCCUUGAUGGUUGUUAUGGUCUAAGAAAACAAGAGGCUAAAAAUUCUAUCUGGGAUUUUUAUAACAACAACAAAAUUGGCAAGCCCAUUGACAUUGGUGAAUUGUCAGUUUCAACCUUGGUAAGUGCGAUUCAGAACAUGCUGUGGGGUGAAACGCUUGAAAUAACAAAGAAAUGGAUUUACUAAUAUUGGGGCUGGGCUAAGAUUUAAGCUUGCAGAACUCACGGUGCUAGAGGGAACACCGAAUAUUUUGGAUAUCUUUCCAGUGCUUUCAUGGUUUAAUAUACAAGGUUUUCAGAGAAUAGCAAAGAAGAUUUCUCUAUGGUUUUAAAAUAUUAUCAAUUCUACUGCUGAACGCUAUAGAAACAACGUCUCUAUUGUCAAAAGUGAAGAAGCAGCAGCAGCAGGGAACAAUAUUGAAGGAAGGAAUAAGGACUUGGUGCAGUUACGCUUGGAGCUUCAAGGUAAAGAAGACAAUGCUUCAUCAAUUAGCAGGACGCAAUUUAAGAGCUUGCUCGUGGUAUGUUGCGCAACUAGCCACAGACAGUUACAGAAACUGAGUUUGGCAGAUUACGACCGUUUCUGGUGAUUACAUAAUUAUUUGUGGCUGUUUUUUUUUUUUAAUUGUAAUUUUCUUAACAGGAUAUAAUUUAGGGUGGAACCAACACCACAACUAUAAUGGUGGAAUGGACAAUGGCAUAAUUGAUACAGCAUCCACAAGUAAUAGAGAAUGUACAGGUAGAACUAAAUCGGGCCGUGGCCAUCGACAGCCAUGUUGAAGAAUUUCACCUAGCUAAGUUAAAAUAUUUAGAUGCUGUGGUGAAAGAAACAUUCUGCACUGUAAUAUAAUACAUGAAUCAUAUGUCCUCUAUUGUUUUUUUAUUUUUCUCUUUUUUUCAAUAGCUUAAUCUAUCAUUAAAAUCUUCUGAAAUUCUAAAUUAAUAUACAUUCAACCUAGAGUUCAAGCCAAAGUUUUAUUGAGCAUUAAAAAAAAAAAAAAUUCUACGACUCAAAAUUUUGUGGAGUAUAAAUUAAAAAUUAUGCGCCUACUAAGAGACAAAAAAUAAAUGAUACACAUUAACCAAUCAAAGGCGAACAAGAGAUUAUUAACAAUAACCUAAUAAUAAAAUUAUAAUGAAUAAAAAAGAAAUGGUACCUAGAAACACAUCACAGCCAUUUAAGCAAUCACUUACCCACAAAAUCCAAACAUAUAAACUAUGUGGGGGGGGGGGGGGGGGGGGGGGGUGUCAUGAUACCUUUGGGUUUCAUGAUAAUCAAAAUUGCAAUACCAUUAAAGACUCAAAAAUAAAAAAAAUCAUAGCCAAUAAAAGAGAAAAAAUAACCCACAAAAAAUCAUCAAGAAAAUAAAUUUGAGACUAAGAGAAGAUAUUAAUUAAACCCUGGGUUGCCUUGGAACCACGGCUUUGGCUUCCAUUUUUCAAUUCUUGGCGACAAGUCAUUUCUUGUUUGUUUACAAAGAUGACGGCUGAUUAAUGAAGCUCUAUUAACAAUGAAUAAAUAAAAAAACUGGCGCCUUGAAAAGACUAACGGUCAUAUUUUUCAACUCCGAAUUAGUGCCGUUUGAUGAGUCCUUGCCAAAACAAUCACUAGGCAAAUAACAAUCAUUUUUCAACCAGCAAAACUCAUUCAUUGUAUUUCACCUUAGUCAAGAUUUAAAAAUUGUUUCAAAAUAAACCUAGUGGUUAGAACCCAAGCGUCACAAUUGUGAGGUCAUGGGUUUGAGCCCCCACAACGUAUUGUGGGGGUUAAUUUUCUUCUUCAAUUUGAGUGAAAACAGUUCUCUCCCUUUCGAAAUGUGGGUGGAGUGGACGUCCCUCAAAUAUUAGAGAGGGUUCAAAUUUGGAUUGUACUAUAUAAGAUUUAUAAAUUAGUCCCAGUAAUUAUCUGAUUGUAAAUAUCAAUAUACUAAUCUAAUUAAAUAUGAGUUGUAAUAUGAGCGUUAGUCUCAUGUAAUUAAAAAAAAAAUGUUUCAAAAUAGGAUUCUUAAAAGGUUGGGGAAAUGGCCAUCAAUAUCCCCAACUUUCCAAAAAGAGACACCAAGACCCAUUUUGACCAUAAUACCCUUUACUUCUAUUAUCCCCAAAAAAUUGACUCUAAUGUUUUAUAAUAAAUAAAAAUAUAACAUUAAAAUAAAUGUAAUAGUAUAUACAUUUUAAAAUAGUUUCAAUAUCUAAAAACCAUUUUAAUAUUUUAAAUCCUAUUAUAUAUAUAUUAAAGUAAAUUUUAUAAUAAAUAGAAUCAUAAUAUUGAAAUAAAUGCAUUAAAAUUUAAAUUAUUUUUAAUAUUAUGUAAAAUAAUAAUUUUAUCAUUAUAAGUAUAUGAGAAUUUUUUUAAUUGUAGAAUGUAUUUAAUGCAAAUAUUUAUUUAAAAUCUCUACAAUAAAUAAAAAUAUACUAUUAAAACAAAUCUCUACAAUAUAUACAUACAUACAUAUACAUUGGCCUGGUAUUUUAUUUUUCAUUUUUUAAACUUAUUAAAUCCUCUAACUAUCAUUUGAUUAUUUUUUUCAAUGAUGAAGAGGCCAUUGCCGGAUAAAUUAUUAAAAUCAACUAGUUCUACAAGAAUGUCCCUUUUUAAAGGAAGAUGAUUCUCUCUCUCGAAAUUUUUUAUCUUGUGCUACAAACUAAAAACUUAUGCCAUUUCAUUAACCACAGAGAUCUUUGAGGAAAUGAUGCUUCGCCCCCCCCCCCCCCCCCCCCCCCCCCCCCCCCCCCCCGCGGCGCCAAAAAGUGUCCUUCCAUAUUUUGUGAAGGCUAAUACAUCGAUGAAUCUAGAUUUCUUUAAAUUUUUUGUUUUACUCAAUUCGAGAUAAUAAAUAGUUUAUCUUUAUUAAAUCUUUACUUUAACAAUGAUAGAUAUUCAAUCCAUGCAAAUAUCUAUCAUUGUAUGAGCUGAUUGCGUGGAGGGAGCGGUAAUUGAAAUCUAAUUGAAAACAGCAGAAGGCUGUUCUUGACAGAUCUCAAAUAUAUUACGGACACGUUGGGAGACAUCUCUAUCAUAGAUAUCCCCAUGCAGUGAUAUUUGUCGUGAUCUAAUUUUUAGUAAAUCUGUAAGAGAGAUUGUAACAUCUUUCAAGUUUUUUGGUUUGAUAUUCUAGACGAAAACGGUUUGUCGUUUCUUGAGCAAACGGCUAACCGUUUAAGUCCAGAGAGCAUGUUUGUUGUUCUGGAUAAAACGGCUCACCGUUGUUGCGAAAACGGCUAACCGUUUAACUCAAGAGAGCAUGUUUUAUGUUCUAGAGAAAACGGCUCACCGUUAUUGAGAAAACGGCUAACCGUUUAUUUACAGAGAGCAACGUAUUUGAUAUUCUGGAAUAAAAUGGCUCACCAUUUAUUGAGAAAACGGCUAACUGUUUAUUUCCAGAAAGGCGUCAAUUAGAAAAACGGUUAGCAAGAAUGAAAAUUUCAAUUGACAAUCGAUGCAAAUUCAAACCAAAAGAGUGUCUUCGAAAAAGUACCAUUUCUAAUGGUUGUAUUCUUUCAAAUAAACAUCUUCUUCAUUAAAGAAAUACACACAAUUAGAUUGAUAAUCAGAUUUUGACAGGUUUCUUAUAUGUUCUGGAAAUACAAUCUUAUUUGCUAGAGAUUGUAUUCAGGAUUUGUUAUAUCUUGGGGGUAAUUUGCCAUUAAAACUAUAUAGCAAACCAAGAUUGGUGAGGGCAAAUAAAACCUUAAAGGAAAGUAUGCAAACACGUCUCAAAUCCUAUGAAACUUUCUUUGUUCUUUGCCUCCAUAUUCUUAUUAUUCACUAACAAAAUCCCCAUGCAGUGAUAUUUGUCGUGAUCUAAUUAUUAGAAAAAUCUAUGAUUUCGCUACUGUAAUAAAAUUUGUCACUACUCUACAUUAAUCUAAAUGUCUGAUGAGAUUUGUAAUUGCUUCCGACGGGAAAACAGUUAAUAGGUUGAUUGAAUGUAUGUGGUAAAGAUUCCACGUAUCUCACGACAGAAUGCUGACCACUGGAACCCUAUCUACUUUUACGCGAUUAAUUCACGAGCUUAGGCACGACAAUUGCAAUACAAAUUAUCCCUUCAUCAUAUAUUUCGUUAAAAUUCAUUCUGAAGCACUAAAACUAAACAAUCGAAUAUGGCUUUGAGGGUCGAUGAUGCCAGCAGCAAUGAGAGUGCAAUUAUCACUUGUUUAGUUUCUGUGCUUGCCGUGGCUUAUUUAGCAUGGAAUGUGAAAAAAUCAAGGAAAGCAAAUGCUAAACUGCCACCAGGACCUCGCGGCUUGCCUGUAGUCGGAUACCUCCCAUUUCUCGGGACUACUGACUUGCACAAGAAAUUCACGGAAUUUAUUUUACUAUUAUAUUUAUAUUCAAAAUAAUUUUAAUUAGCUUUUAAAAUGAAUGAUUUUAGGAAAUUAUAAAUAAAGGUAACUAAGAAUUCUCUUAAUGUAAUAUAUUAUUAAUUAGUUUAAAAAUACAAAUUUAUUAAUUAGAGAAAUUAUUAGUGAAUUUAAAUUAAUGAUCUUAAUGAUUUGUUUGUACGAUUGCCCCCAAUCAAAGGUAAUUUUCCUAAAAAUUAUUAGGAAAUUAGAGAAAUUUAAUUUUUUUAGUGGGUUCAAUUGCCCACACACCCCGACUGAAGCAUUUUUUACAAUAUGUACUCCGUUUGUCGGCAGGAAAAUAAAGGUCUUGACACAUGAUCACUUCACUCCUUUAUUUACUUUGCUAACGCAGAUUUUGAGGUAUUAAAACAAAUAAUAAUUGAAUAUGACUUUGUGGGUCGACGACGCCAGCAACGAGGAGACCGCCAAUUAUCACAUUUUAAGUUUGCUGUAAUUGCCGUUGUUUUAUAUUAGUAGAAUAUUAGUGAUAAGAUAAUUGUAGAGUUUUCAUUUUUUUAAUAUUAAAAUCAAGUCAAUUUAUUAUAAUAAAUUUAGUUGAAUUUAAUCGUAUUACCACAUAAAUUGAAUAAUAAUAGAAUUCUCGACAAUAUUUCAAUAUUUUAAUCUCAAGCAUUGGAGUGGCAUUUAUUUGUUAUACGGUCGAUUUUAGAAUUUAUAAAAUUAUUCGUUGCUGAAUUGCACCAUAUGCUGCAUAACCUGAAACUUAAUAAACGGAACGUAGCGUUGGCACCGUUACUCAACAUUCACUGUUACGACUUUGUGACAUUAGAAUUAAAAUCUUUUCCACAUUUAAUUUGUUUACUUCCAACUUAAUAUUUAACAAAAUGUAUGUUAGCAUUGUAUGCCAUAUCAUCUGUAAUUUUGUCAGGAUCGAUCAUUCUAAUUUUUAAGCAGAACUUUUUGUCAAUGGACAAACACCUCAUACAGCUUGUCAGAGGCAUUAGUAUGAUGUAAAAUUGUAAUGGUAUAUCUUGAAUUAUUUUAGAAUAGUGAAUAACUAUUUGGAGCAAUAAAAACAAAUAAGACAGAUGAGAAAAUGGCUAAAAUUAUAUAAGUGACCCAAAAUUUUUUGCUAUUUCCAAGAAAUCCCCAAUCUGAAUGGACCAGAGGGAGGCAAGUUAGAAAUACAUUUCCUUCAUAGACAAUAACAACGAUGAGUGGAUGACAUCAAACCACGUUGGUAUCAAUAUUGAAAUAAAGGUGCAAUUAUUCAGCCAAUGAGCCUUAGUACACAUCAAGAUAUAUAAAAGUCAAGAAAAUGAAAAUUUAUCCCAAUUAAAACUCUUUCUGGCUGCAUUUAGCUGUUUCUGUUUAGGGAUGGCAAUUUAAUCCGGACCCAGCCCGACCCGGAUGAAUCCAGAAAAUUCGGGGUGGAUUCAACCCGUACCGGAGUGAAUAAAAUCUGAUAUUCAAAUUCAAUAUUUUCAACCCGGACGUUUCCGAGUCCGGAUCCGGAUUUGGGUAAACCCGCAUAUCCGGAACCCGGAUCCGGAUAACUAUUUUAAUAUUAAUUUUUAAAUCAUUUUAAAAUAAAAAAAAAUUAGAAAAAAUCAGCCCUAAUGCCCUUCCACAGCCACGGCAGCCAAACCAAACCCAGACAUUUCCUCUCUCUCUCUUUAGCCCUUCUUUUCAACAAAUCAUCAUCGUUGCUCAUCAUCGUUUCGUCGUGUUCAUCUUCAUCUUCAUCAUCAGCUGCCGUUUGUCCAGCUAUGUCACUAGUUUUGGCCGCCGUUUCCGUUUGUGCACCUUCGCAAAUCGGGAUCUCGAUUUGGCCGCCAACACUUCUACCCCCUGGUGUUUUGCUUUGUCCUCGACAACUUCUUUGUUGAUAAAUUGACGGGCACUUAUGAAUGCAUUUGUCUCUGUUUCUUCAUUUACACCUUCCCAGUUGUUUGUUCAUUUGCUUUUUGGAAGGAAAAAAAAAAAAAAUCAGCCACCAUUUAUCCUUCCCCUUUUCUUGACCUAACCCCACAAAGCCCAAUUUGUCAUCAUCAUUCAUUGGCAAAUUUGUUAUCAUCAUGGUUGAGACAUCAUGAUUAUCUUUGAUAAUUGAAUUUGUGUAAUAUGUUACCUUGGAUUUUAUUUCUAAGUAUUUGAUUUUGAAUUAUUUUCCAUUAUUGGUGUUAAUAGAUAGAAGAUUAGAAAGGAAUUCUUCACUGAAUAAAGAGAUGGGAAAUUGCAUCUUUUAGCAAUCAUCCGGGUUAUAAACCCGGAAUCCGGAAACCAGGAUUUUUCCGGGUUUAACCCAGUCCGGACCCGAAUGAAAAAUAUCCGGGUUUACAUCCGGGUCUGGUAUUAAAAUUUAUCGUCCGGAUCCGGAACAGGGAAGACAAAACCCGGACCCGAACCCACAUUUUGCCAUCCCUAUUUCCAUUUGAAGUUAACAACAACGUUUCUUUCGUUUUGUGGGCGACUUGACUGAGCCAGCUGGAUUCUAGUGCUAGUAUGUGAAAAUAGAAGGCUAAUGAUUUCACGUUCACUAGCCCACCUCCCCUCCUCUCGUUUCCUCUGAAUCAAUUUUCACGUGUGGUACCGAUUGAAAAUAUCUCUGACAUUUCGUGGACAUCUCUAUUGAAAAUAUCUCAGACAUUUCACUCAGGCAAACUUAUUAAUAUAAAAAAUCUAUGAUUUUUUCGUCUUAUACUGUAGAAAAAUUUGUCUAUACAUUAAUCUAGAUGUUUGAGGUGGUUUAUACAUCUGUGGUAUAGAUUUAUAGGUUGAUUGAUACGUCUGUGGUAUAGAUUUUAUGUAUUUCAUUAUCAAAUGCUGGCCUUUGGGACCCUAUCUACAUCUAUUUAUAAAACUAACGGGUGCCAGUUAUGCCAUUACAAAUUAUCCCCUCUUCAUACAUUUCCUUAAAAUUCUUCUGAAACACCAAAACUAAAUAAUCGAAUAUGGCUUUGCGGGUCGAUGAUGCCAGCAACAAUGAGGCUGCAAUUAUCACUUGUUUAGUUUCUAUGCUUGCCGUGGUUUAUUUCGUAUGGAAUGUGAACAAAUCAAGGAAAGCAAAUGCUAAACUGCCACCAGGACCUCGCGGUUUGCCUGUAGUCGGAUACCUCCCAUUUCUCGGAACUACUGACUUGCACAAGAAAUUCACGGAAUUAUCCGGAGUUUAUGGUCCGAUCUUCAAGCUCUGGCUCGGAAAUAAAUUAAGUGUCGUGGUGAGCUCACCUUCCCUAGUUAAACAAGUGGUUCGUGAUCAAGAUACAACAUUCGCAGACCGUGACCCGCCGAUCUCAGGACUAGUGACCUCCUUUGGUGGCAAUGAUAUUACAUGGUCCAAUUACGGUCCCGAAUGGAGAAAGUUGCGCAAAUUUUUUGUGGGCAAGAUGAUGAGUAACGCAAGCCUUGAUGCUUGUUAUGCUUUAAGAAAACAUGAGGUUAAAAAUACUAUCAGGGAUUUGUAUAACAACGGCAACAAAAUUGGUAAGCCCAUUGACAUUGGUGAAUUGUCGAUUUCAACAUUGGUAUGUGCUAUGCAGAACAUGCUGUGGGGUGAAGCGCUUGAAUUAAAAGAGAAAGGGACAACUAAUCUUGGGGUUGAGCUAAAAUUUAAGUUUGCAGAACUCAUGGUGCUACUGGGAACACCGAAUAUUUCGGAUAUCUUUCCAAUGCUUUCUUGGCUCGACAUACAAGGUAUAGAGAGGAGAGCAAAGAAGAUUUCACUCUGGUUUGAAAAAAUUAUAAAUUCUACUGUUGAAAAGUAUAGAAGCAAGGACUUUAAUGUUGAAGGUAAAGAAAGAGCAGGGGAAAAUUUUGAAGGAUCAAGGAACAAGAACUUCUUGCAGUUACUAUUGGAGCUUCAAGAAAAUGAAGACGGUUCUUCCUCAAUUAGCAUGAACCAAUUUAAGGCCGUACUCGUGGUAUGUUAAGAAACUAGCCGCAAACAGUUAUACAAGCACAGCUGUAUAUUUUGCAUGAGUGAUAUUUUCAACCUUUUUUUUUUAUAAUUAGAAUUUUAUUGUAACCUUUUGGACAGGAUAUAAUUACGGCUGGAACCGACACCACAACUACGAUGGUGGAAUGGACAAUGGCAGAGUUGAUGCAGCAUCCACAAAUAAUGAAGAAAGUUCAGGAAGAAUUAGCUCAAGUUGUGGGCAUGGACAGUUGUGUUGAAGAAUUUCAUUUGCCUAAAUUGAAAUAUUUAGAUGCUGUGGUGAAAGAAUCGUCUCGUCUGCAUCCUGCAGUGCCUUUAUUACUACCACGCAGAGCAAGCGAGAGUGGCAGCAUUGGUGGCUAUAACAUUCCCAAAGAUACAACUAUUAUGUUGAAUGUUUGGGCAAUCCACAGGGACCCUAAACUUUGGGAUAAUCCCUUAGAAUUUCGACCCGAGAGGUUUCUAGAUGAUGGUAUCGCGAGUAAGUUCGAUUACUCAGGUAACAAUUUUCAGUACUUGCCAUUUGGUUCUGGUAGAAGGAUGUGUGCUGGGAUUCCUCUAGCUGAGAGGAUGCUGAUGUUUGUUUUGGCUUCGUUAUUGCACUCAUUUGAGUGGGAAUUGCCAGCUGGCACAAAGCUAAACUUAUCUGAAAAAUUUGGGAUUGUCAUUAAGAAAAAAGAGCCUUUAGUUGCUAUUCCAACACCAAGACUAUCCAAUUCAGAGCUCUACCAUUAAGACAGAAUGGUUGUGAUGAUUUUGUUAAUUUCCGAAGAUUUGUAUGUUAUGUCAAGUUCAAUCGUAAUAAAAUAUUUCAAAUAAGAGUCCUCCGUUGCUUUUUUUUUUUUUUUCAACCGCAUAAUCUGUCGUCAUGCUUGUAUUUGGGGCUACUUUGGAAUAAUUAUGUUUGAAUUACAAUAUAUAAAUAUUACAUUUUAAAAUUUUAUGAGAUUCUAAAUUUAUACACGUUCAAUAACCCACUUCAUAUAUGUUUAACACAAUUUAUAUCAUACAUUGUAUACCCAUUUGUCAUAAAUUACGCUAUUUUAUAUCUCUAAAUAAUAUUACAUAUUGAUAUUAUAAAAUGUUGUUAACUCACGUGUGUAUAUAUAUAUAGCAAGUCACGUGCAUAUAUUAUUGGUUGUUAUAUGUUUGCUAGUUUGAUAGGAUUUCCUUUCCUUGUGAACUAGGGUAAUUCUUAUGUACAUAUAAAUAUUGAUCAAUAAGAGUGCAGAUGAUGACUGCAGUUUUGCAUCGUAGAAAUUCUUCGUAAAAUAUAUAUGUUUAUCAAAAGGCUAUACCAUUCAAUAUAUAUUGGAAAGAGAACAAAGAAGAUCUUCUUAUGGUUUGAAAAUAUUAUGAAUUCUGCUGUUGAACAGUAUGGAAACAAGGUCUGUUGUUAAAGGUGAAGAAGUCACAGGGAACAAUAUUGAAGGAAGAAAUUUCACGUUUAGUUGCUGAAUUUGCCGCUGUAUUCUAUCGGUAGUAAAAAGAUUAGAGUUUUUAUUUUUCUCUAUUAAUGUUAAGUCAAUUUUCUAUAACAAAUUCGGUUGAGUUUAAUUGUGUUACAAUAUAAAUUGAAUGAUAGUAGAAUUUUCAACGAAUAAUUCAAUAUUUCUAUCUCGAUUGUUGAAGUGCCAUUUAUUUGUUAUACGAUCGAUUUUAAAAUUUAUAAAAUUAUUUGUUACUAAAUUGCAUCAUAUGCUAAAUCACCUGAAACCUAAUUUCAUAACUAACCCUUUAUUUUUAGUUCUCAAGAAAUCUUGUAAGAACAAAAUUCUUUUGUAACAAAACGUUUACAACAAAUUAAUUUGUAACUCAUUCCUGUGCGAGAAUCACUCUCAAUUUCCUUCAAUUGCUGUUUAACAAUCAUCUGCUUAUCAAAAUUCAAGCAUAAUCUUUUUUUUUAAUUUCUUCAUCAUUCUUUUGAAAAAAAAAAUCAGGAUAUGCUGUUAAAUUUUGAAAUAAAUUAUCUCAAAAUAAUUACUAACCAGAAAAAACAAAGGGGUUUAACUAGGUUAUGCAUACCUUUGAAAAUUAUAUGUUGAUCGAUAAGAAUGAUGAUCACGAUUGACGAGUUUAAUUAAAAUAUAUAAGAUUUUAAAAUUAAUCAGGGUUAAAUUGUGAAUUUUAGAAAGAGAGGUUUUGUGAGAAUGUUGAAAGGGUGUUAAUAGUUCCACUCUUUUUAAAAACAACCAUAGUCAUCAUUUUUCCAUGGUUGUUUUUAAAAAGAGUAUUUCUUCUUCCCAUCUCCAUCUUAUUUAGAAAUUUCCCAGAGCCUUUGUUUCCCACCUUUCAUUUUUCUUCUUUCUAAUUUAAUAAUCCACCCUUCUUGUAUUCAAACUAAAAAAUUAAAAUCUGAAAAUUUAAAACCCAAUAUUAUAGUAUUAUAAAAAUAAUUACUCACAUUUUAUCAAACACCUCCAUUCUUCCAAGGCCUUGUUUUAGUAGUAGGCUUUUAUUAUCUCAAUAAAAUUGAAAAAAAAAAUCUCAAUAAUAUUGGAAAAAAACCCUACCCAUAUUUGUAACUUUAAUUUAUUAUUCUCCAUAGACCUACUUUUUAGUUUUGAAUUUUGUUGGAGCCAUAUAUAAACAGAAUAUGUUGAAAUCAGCACCCAAAAAAAAAAAAACUAAUUAUAUAAUUUAUGUUCCCAAGGACAUGGCUGAGUGAUUUUCAAGAAGUUUUGUUUGGCUGGCCACUUAGGUUUAAAUCUUGGUGGAGAUUAAGGGUUAAGAAAUAAAUUUAGACUUUGCACACCCCUUUAACUUUUAAAAAGAAAUGAAAAAAUUAAUUAAUUAAUCUUUAUUUUAUUUAUUAAAUGUCAUAAUCCUAUGCGUAUUUUAUUUGUUAUCUUUCUAUUUAAAAGACGAGGGCAGAUAAAACUGAAAUAAAUUUUUAGCCCUAUCUCCAUAUUUCAAGUUCCAUAGUUAGGUGACCAGCUAAAAAAAAUUAAUUGAAAGCUACUCCAUCAAAUUAAAAAAAUUUAUUUAUUUAAUUUGUGGAGAUGUAGAAAAUCAAACCCCAUACCUUUUCGCAUACACUGAACAUAUUUUAAUACAUGACUAUCAUCCUUUAUCCUAAAUACUACUAUAACUAAUAACAUACAAUUGAAAUAAUUAAUGUUAACACUUGGCUAUAAAUAAAGGUUUUGUGCUUGAAUCUUCACGCAUGACCUUCAUUCCUUUAUUGACUUUGCUAACACAGAUUUUGAGGCAUUAAAACUAAAUAAUAAUUGACUUUGUGGGCCGAGGAUGCCAGCAACAAGGAGACCACAAUUAUCACUUAAGUUACUCUAAUUGCCGUUGUCUUAUAUUCAUAGAAUAUUAGUAAUAAGAUUAUUGCAGAAUUUUUUUAAUAUUAAAAUUAAGUCAAUUUGUUAUAACAAAUUUAGUUGAGUUUAAUCGUGUUACUACAUAAAUUGAAUAAUAAUAGAAUUCUCGACAAAUAUUUCAAUAUUUUUAUCCCAAGCGUUGGAGUGGCAUUUAUUUGUUAUACGAUCGAUUUUAGAACUUAUAAAAUUAUUCGUUACUGAAUUGCACCAUAUGCUGCAUGACCUGAAACUUAAUAAACGGAAUGUAGCGUUGGCACCGUUACUCAACAUACUGUUACGACUUUGUGACAUUAGAAUUAAAAUCUUUUGCACAUUUAAUUUGUUUACUUCAAAAUUAAUAUUUAACAAAAUAUUUUUUUCACAUUAUCAAUGGACAAAACUCCAACGAAAAUAACUACACAAGAAAAAUGUAUGCUAGUAUUGUGUGCCAUAUCAUCUGUAAUUUUGUCAGGAUCGAACACUCUAAUUUUUAAGCAGAACUUUUUAUCAAUGGACAAACACCUCACACAGCUUGUCAGAGGCAUUAUUAUGAUAGAAAACUGUAAUGGUAUAUCUUGAAUUAUUGGUAGAAUAGUUCUUUGGAGCAAUAAAAAUAGAUAAGACAGAUGAGAAAAUUGUCAAUACCCCACCGCAAAAGCAAAAGAAAAAAAGGAAAGGAGACAAAAGAGGAAGAAGAAAAAAAGGAAAGGAGACAAAAGAGGAAGAAGAAAAAGAAAAAAGAACGAAGAAAAAAAUGGUGCCGCGCUGUAUUGGGAAGAAGAAAAAAAUUAAUAAAAUAAUAAUAAAUAAUAAAUAAUAAAUAAUAAAAUAAUAGUGCACAACAAUCAUUUGAUUGCUAUAAAUAAAGGGGCAUUUUCCUCAUUUUAUUCAUCGAAUUCUUCAGUUCCUUUCAAGCGAUUUAAGAGUCUAGUGAUUUGAGAGUUUGGGAGUAUUGUGAUUUUGAGUACUAAGUUAAAAUACUAUAAUACUUGUAACUCAUUUUCACUAGUAAAAUAUUUUUCUUCUGUCUUCGCCCGUAGACGUAGGCUAAAAGCUGAACCACGUAAUUUCUGGUGUCCCUAUGUGAUUAUGUGUCUCAUUAUUUCUCAAUUUUACUUUAGUUACGUGUCUGCUACACCCUUCAAUUUACUAACAAAAAUGGCCAAAAUUAUAUAAGUGACCCAAAUUUUUUUGCUAUUUCCAAGAAAUCCCCAAUCGGAAUAGACCAAACUAGAGGGAGGCAAGUUAGAAAUACGUUUCCUUCAUAAACAAUAACAGCGAUGAGUCGAUGACAUCGAGCCACGUCGGUAUCAAUAUUGAAUUAAAGGUGCAAUUAUUCAGCCAAUGAGCCUUACACAUCAAGAUAAAAGUCAAGAAAAUGAAAAAUUUAUCCUAAUUAAAACACUUUCUGGCUGCAUUUAGCUGUUUCUAUUUGAAGUUAAAAACAACAUUUCUUUCGUUUUGUGGGCAACUCGACUGAGUUCGCUGGCUUCUAGUGCUAGUAUGUGAAAAUAGAAGGCUAAUGAUUUAUUUGUUAUCUUUUGACAAAAAAUGUUAAAGAUAUAAUAGAUUUUCCAUGAUACAAAUGAAAAAUUAUAUCAACAUAACUUCCAAGCUACAGCAGCUAGUGUUUACCAAACACUUUGCUGUAGCUUUUAAGCUACAGCUGCCCAACCUCAAUAGGUUGAUUGAAUUUGUGGGAUAUAGAUUCCACAUAUCUCAUGACCUAUUAAUUAUACAAGUGGUUCUUGAUCAAGAACAACAUUUGCUUCCGACCCAGUAACCCAGCAACUGCUGCACUGGUCGCCACCUAUGGUGCCGACGAUAUUGCAUGGUCCAAUUAUGGCCUUGAAUGGAAAAAGUUGAGCAAAUUAUUUGUGGGCACGAUGAUAAGUAACGCAAGCCUUGAUGCUAGUUAUGGUCGAAGAAAACAAGAGGUUAAGAAUACUAUCAGAGAUAUGCAUAACAACAAAAAGGAAAAAAAAAAAAAAAGGCAUUGGCAAGUCAAUUGAUAUUGCUGAAUUGUCGAUUUCAACUUUGGCAUGUGUAAUUCAGACAUUGCGCGUUGUGGUAUGGCGCUGGCACGCUUGCAUUGCCGAGAGGACAAAUCUUGGGGCUGGGCUAAAAUUUAGGCUUGUAGAACUCAUGGUGCUAAUGGGAACGCCAAAUUUUUUUAACAUAUUUCGGUGCUUUCAUGGUUUAAUUCAAGGUAUAGAAAGGAGUGUUGAGAAUGUCAAAUAAAACGACAUUGAAUGGAAGUUGUCAAAGACAUGAUCCGCACUGAACGGCAAUGACACGGUUGGUAAAGAUUUUUUCAUAAUAUGCGUAUCUAAUUUUUGAAAAAUUGUAACCUCUGCUUCUAUAAAUAUGCUCAAUGUAUAAUGUUUUACUUAAGAAAUGAAAAACUUAAUUCUUUAUGGUAUCAGAGCGAGGCUCGUUGCUCUGUUUGUAACAAAAACAAAGAAAACUAAAUUCUUCCCACAACUAUUUUUCCACCUUUUUUUCUUCCUUAAAAGCAUUCCUAGCAUUACAGAAACCCAUGCCAAUAAAAGAACAAGCCACACAUAUGUAAAAACUUUAGUUUACAAAUCUAUCAACAUCCCCAUAAAUUUUCCCAAAAAGUGAUCUUCAAAAACCAAAAAUACCAUCAAUUUUCGCAUCUUCUAGUAAACAAACUAUAAAAGUUUCGCACUCAAACAGAGCCACACGCGCCUCCACGCGCUUCCCGGAAUCACGGCCAACCACCACGCGCCUCUGUCACCACCAACUCACCCUCAUGCGCUCCAGAUGUUGCAGAAGACGCAAAACGACGUGUCGUUUUCUUCUCUAAAAGUGCAGCAACGUGGAAAUGACUUUUUGUUUUUGCCUUAAAUUGUUUUUCCUCGUUUGAAGCUAUACAACAUUUUUCUUUCUAAACCUGUUUUUUACAAUAAAAAAAGAAAAAAAUGGAGAAAACUCCAACUGAAUCUACUCAUGUUGUCAUUCAAUCUGUUCAACCUGAUGGAGUAUUUAAUGCCGAAAUUAUCCUUACUAAGACAAACUACGAUAUUUGAUCUCAAAUAAUGGAGAUGCAUCUCGCAGAAAGAAAAAAACUCCCAUAUAUUCGUAGCAGCAUAAAUCCAUCUGACAAAUUUUCAAAGAAAUAUGAGAAAUGGUAUAGUGAGAACCAAAAAGUAAAAAGAUGGUUACUCAUAACCAUGUGUCCUGAGAUCAUGAAGCGAUAGUUACAAAUUCCUACAGCCUACGAAAUUUAGAAUGCAUUAUCAAAAGCCUUUUAUAAUGGAAGCGAUGAAAUACAAGUUUUCACUCUAAAUCAGAAGGCGUUCUCUACGAAGCAAAAUGGACAACCACUCUCUAAAUUCUACGGAGAAUUGAUCAAAAUGUUUCAAGAACUUAAUCACCGAGAUAAAGUGGUCAUGAAGGAUCCAGAAGAUGUUAUAAUAUAUAGGAAGUUUGUUGGAAGAUUGAGAGUGCACAUUUUUCUUGCUGGACUAGAUGAAGAAUUUGACCAAGUUUGUGGAGAAAUUCUACGAAAAGAUACUAUCCUAGACUUAAAAGAAUGUUAUUCUCUAAUCCGAAAAGAAGAUGUACGGCAAAGCAAACUAACAAGAAGGUGGACGACUCAGAAACGUCUGCUAUGAUACCACAAGAGAACAAUGUUUUGAAAUUGUUCGAUAUCCUGACUGGUGGGAUACUCGAAGUAAUAACACAAAGCAGAGAUAAAAAACUGCAGUAGCUGAAUCCACAUCCACUACAGAUCUUAGAAAAGAAUCUUCAGCGCAAAUUGCAACCUCUGUCAAUUCAGGUAAGGUCAUUAAAACUCUUACAUUUGUUAUUAAUAGUAUAUGGAUAAUUGAUUAUGGUGCAACUGAUCAUAUGACUUUUGAUUCUUGACAAGUUUCUUAAUUGAAACCAUCUUCACAUAAACAUGUUUCUACUGUAAAUAGAACCACAACCUCAGUUAUUGGGGAAGGAUCUUUACAACUCACAAUUAAAUCAAAUUUAGACUUUGUGUUAAUUGUUCCAUCUUUAAAUUAUAAUCUUUUAUAUGUGUCUCAAAUAACCUCUUACUUAUCAUGUGUUGUAAUGUUUUGGCCCGAUCAUUGCAUGUUUAAGGACAUCCAAAUGAAGGAAACGAUUGGUUAUGAUAUUAAAUAAGGCAACUUGUAUUACCUGGAGAUGACAUCAACAAACACUGAAAAGCUAAGCCCCGCAUUAGUAGCAGACAAUUCCAUGAAAAAAAAGGAAAUAAGAAAUUUGGUUAUGGCAUAGACGAUUAGGGCAUGUGUCAUUUGAUUUCUUAAAAAAAUUGUUUCCUAGUUUGUUUCUGAAAUUUGAUAUUUGUAACUUUAAAUAUGAUGUUUGUGAACUUUCAAAUAGCCAUCGAACUACUUUUCCAUUGUCCUUAAAUAAGAAUCCAAUUCCUUUAAUGGUAGUACAUUCUGAUGUAUAGAGACCAUCUAAAGUUUCUACCAUUGGAAGAGCUCGUUGGUUUGUUACAUUUAUUGAUGAUUGUAGCAGAAUGACAUGGAUUUUUUUAUGAAAUUAAAAUCAUAUGAUGGUGACAACUCUAUUUCAGACACAAAUUUGAGUUCUACAUACUGAUAAUGGAGGCGAGUAUAUGAGCACAACAAUUCAACAGUUUUUGAAAUCACAAUGAACUCACCACCAAACCACUUGUGUGGGGACACUCCAACAAAAUGGCGUUGCUAAACAAAAAAAUAGACAUUUACUAGAAGUUGUUCAAGCAUCACUAAUUUAGGCCCGCAUGCCACUAUUUUAUUGGGGAGAAGCAUUGGCAUCCGUAGCAUACUUGAUCAAUCGGACACCUUCAAUCUUCCUUGGAUUCCAAACUUAUUUUCUAGUUCUAAAUGAAGAAUUAUGUCAUCAAAUGUGUCGAAUUUACCCCCACAUAUGUUUGGUUGUGUUGCCUUCGUUCAUUUGCCAUGACAAGAUAAAUUAUCUCCUCGAGCACUACGUUGUGUGUUUGUAGGGUAUGCCUUACAUCAAAAGGGGUACCGAUGCUAUCAUCCUCUAUUAAGAAAAAAUAUACAUCACCAUGGACAUAAUCUUUCAUGAAGAUAUCAUGUAGUACCCAUCGGAGCUUGAAUUUCAGAGGGAGUAUAAUGAAGAGGAAAUUCAUACUCUUACAUAUCUUUCACCUGAAGAAGAUCAAUCCUCCAUUGAGGUAGUAAACGUUCAAGAUACUGGAAAAGAAAACGACAAUGAUUCUCAGGCUGAGACAAGUGAAGACACAUUUAGGGAGCAAAAUAACUCAGACAUAACCACAAUCGAGAACGAGUCCAUGAAGAGCCACAUGAAGAAAUAUCUAACCAAUCAUCUGCAGAGGAUGAUCCUACCACAAAUCCCAGUCUAAUCAGAAGAAUACUUCCCCAGCAUCAAAAUAGAGGUAUCUCUAAACCCACAUAUAAGACUGACCUCUCUAGUAGAGUCAAAUACCCUAUGAGUCAUUUUGUAUCUAACCAUGGCUUAUCAAAAUCAAAUCAGUCAUUUGUGAAUCAAUUAUCUACUGUGUCUAUUCCUAACAGUGUGCAAUAAGCCUUAAAAUAUCGAAAGUGGAAAGGGCUAUGAAUGACGAAAUGAGAUCUCUUUAAAAAAAAUCAAACAUGGGAACUAAUUGAUCUUCCACCAGGAAAGAAACCAGUGGGUUGCCGAUGGAACUAGUUGAUCAUCCACCUCCAUUCUGACAAGCAAUGUUUAUCAGCAAUAACAAAUGACUGAAGCAUUUUAAUGAGGUUAGUAACGAAAAAGAGUUUAAUUAGAGAAUAUUAUAAGAGAAAUUCUAAUUUUUGAUUUUUAAUAAAUUAAAAUAUCUUAAAAUAUUAUUAGUUGGUGGUGGUUUCAUGUCAGAUUAAGACGUGACACCUUACUAAUGAGGUCGAGACAAUUAGCUUAAAUUAUUUCAAUGCAUUUGAAAUUUCCACUAAUGACUAUAAUUCUUUGUCCUAAUUACUAUGAUAAUUAAUAACAUACAAUUGAAAUAGUUAAUAUUAGCACUUGGCAAUAAAUAAUUAAAUUUCAUUAACACUAAAUAAUAAUUGAAUAUGGCUUUGUACAUCGAUGACGCCAGCAACAAGGGGACCGCGAUUAUCACUCUUUAAGUUGCUUUUAAAAUUGAUUUUAGUAGUGAUAUGAUUAUUGUAGUGUUUUUAUUUUUUAUAUUAAAAUUAAGUGAUUUGUUAUAAUAAACUUAGUUGAGUUUAAUGGUAUUACUACAUAAAUUGAAUAGUUAUCAAAUAUUUUAAUAUUUUUAUGGCAAGCGUUGACGUGGCAUUUAUUUGUUGUAUGAUGGAUUUUAAAAUUUAUAAAAUUAUUUGUUAUUAAAUUACCCCCAGAUGCUACAUCACCUGAAACUUAAUAAAGGUAUGAAGACAUGUGUGUGUGGACUGAAAUGAAGAAUAUGGAAAAGUUGAGAGCUGUUGUGCAGAUUGAGUUCAGUUGAUGGGGUCUAUUAGAUAUUGUCUGCUGACGUGGCAUGAAUUCGUUAUAAUCUGUUAUAACGAGUUCAGUAUAUCAGUAUACAAUAGAGCUGAUGGAUGGUGCCUGUUUUAGAGUCUUUUUUAUAUUCAUUUGUUCAUCAUUUUGCGCAAGAUCUGUUCCAUUGUGAUAUGUGUAAAGUCUUAUGUAAACCCACUUAUGAUUGGAUUAGUUCUUGAUUAAUAACAACGAGUAAAUUUUCCUUCAAGUGUGCUGGUCUGUGCCCCUGUUUUUUGUUCUGAUAUUGUUUCUUUGUUCUGGCAUUUCAUUUCGAUUGUGUUCUUGGUGUUUCUACUCAUCAAGAUUUAUGAGUCUUGUUGAGAUUAAAGACUUAAUAGUCUUAACAAGUGGUAUCAGAGCCUGGUGAAUCUCAGCCAUGUCUCUUUCGAAGCAUGAAAUUGAAAAAUUCACCAUUGGUGGUGAUUUCUCGCUUUCGAAAUUAAAAAUGAGGGCUCUCCUUGUGCAUUAGAGGCUUGAAUUUGCUCUGGAAAAAGAUAAUCUAGAGGCUGCUACAAGUUAUGUGACUGAUGAUAAGAAGAGACAAAUCCAAAACCGAGCUCGUAGCACUCUAGUUUUGAGUCUUGGUGACUCAAUCUUGAGAAAGAUUUCUGAAGAGAAGACAACCUUAGGGAUUUGGAACAAGGUAGAAGCUUUGUGUACAAAGAAGUCGCUAGCUCACAGACUAUUCUUGAAGAAAAAGUUAUACACAUUCUCGAUGAGAGAAGGAGUCACAAUUCAAGAUCACAUUGAUACCUUCAACAAGAUCAUUCUUGAUCUUGAAGGGGUGGAAAAUGUGACAAUAAGUGAUGAAGAUAAAGCCUUCUUCUUGUUGAGUUCCUUACCAAAGUCUUAUGAAGGCUUUGUAGAUACAAUGCUUUAUGGCAGAACAACAUUGACUCUUGAAGAUGUUAAAGCAUCUCUAAGUUCAAAAGAGAUUCAGAAGAACAAUGAGAUUGAAACAAAUAAUGGUGAUGGGCUGAUUGCCAGAUCAGAAAAGAAGAAAGAUCAGAAGAAUAAAAAUCAGGGAAAAUGACAUGGAAAGAAUUAAGAAAAUGCAGACAAGAAGAAAAAGAAGAGAAAAUGCUUCUACUGCCGGAAGGAAGGGCAUUACAUCAGGGAUUGUCUUAAAAAGAAAAAAAAAGAAAGUCAAGAGAAGUCAGGGGAUGCAGCUGUAGCCUCUGAUGAUGCCUCUGAUGGAUAUCACAUUGCUGAUUUACUUGUGGCCUCAAAUAGCAAUACUAAAGGUCAGUGGGUCAUAGACUCUGAGUGCUCUUUUCACUUGUGGCCUGAUAAAACCAUAUUUUACAAAUAUGAAGUUGUUGAUGGUGGUAGAGUCUUAAUGGGAAAUAAUAAUGUGUGUAAUCUUGUUGGUAUUGGUUCUGUGAAGAUCAAGAUGUUUGAUGGAACUGUAAGAGCUCUACAUGAGGUGAGGCAUGCUCCUAGGCUAAAGAGAAAUCUAAUCUCUUUAGGCAUGCUAGACAGCUUAGGGUAUUUCUUUAAAUCAGAAAGUGGUGGUUUAGAGAUAAGAAAGGGGACUGAGAUAGUGAUGAAGGGGGUUAAAGAAAAUGGCUUAUAUGUAUUGUAAGGCUCAUCAGUGCUUCUUCAAAAGGGAAUUUCUGCUCUUUUUGAGGAAGAUAUAACCAAGUUAUGACAUCUUAGACUUGGUCAUAUGAGUGUCAAAGGGAUGUAAGAGCUCAGCAAACAAGGGCUACUUGGUGGGGAUAGAAUCCAGCAACUGGAAUUAUGUGAAAAUUGCAUUUUUGGCAAAGCUCACAGGUCCAAGUUUCACAAGGGGGAGCAUAUGUCUAAGCAAGUUUUGGACUAUGCACAUGCUGACCUUUGGGGGCCUGCUCAAGUCCCAUCCUUGAGUGGUGGCAGGUAUUUCAUAUCACUAAUUGAUGAUUACUCAAGGAAGAUGUGGGUCUACAUACUCAAGACCAAAGAUCAAGCCUAGGAAAAAAUUCAAGGUAUAGAAAUCUUUGGUAGAAAAUCAAUUUGGAUUCAAGCUCAAAUGCUUGAGAACUGAUAAUGGUUUGGAAUUUUGUAGCAAAGAAUUUGAGGAAUAUUACAAAAAAACAUGGCAUAAAAAGGCACAAAACAGUCAGGUUCACCCCCCAGCAGAAUGGCUUGGCUGAAAGGAUGAACAUGACCUUGGUAGAUAAGACCAGAUGUAUGUUGAUAAAUUCAAAGCUUCCAAGAAGCUUUUGGGCAGAAGCUGUCAAUACAACAAGUUGUUUGGUUAACAGAAGCCCAUAUUCUGCAAUUGGCUUCAAAACACCAGAAGAAUUGUGGAAGGAAAAACCUGUAAAUUACCAAAAUCUCAGUGUUUUUGGAUGCCCUGCUUAUCUCCACAUCAAUCAAGGCAAGCUGGAAGCUAGGGCCUUGAAAGGAGUCUUUGUUGGAUAUCCUGAUGGGGUUAAGGGAUACAUAAUCUGGUGUAGAGAGUAAGGGAAGUGUAUAGUCAGCAGGGAUGUUGUGUUUCAUGAAUUUGGAUUGCUAAAAGAAAAUGCAGAGAAUGAUACUAGACUACAAAAUGAUUCAAUAAUUAUCAAACAAUCUGGAACUUCCAAGGUUAAGGUGGAGCUGUUUGGAAAUAAAGACAGUAGAAAAGAGGUAGCUGAUUAUGAAGAGAGGACCACAGCUAAAGUUGAGGAACAUGAGUCAUCAGAGUUGCCACAAGCUGACUUGCAGACUUAUCAGUUAGCAAGAGAUAGAGUUAGAAGAGAAGUCAAAGCACUAGUGAGGUAUGGCUAUGCUGACUUAAUUACUUAUGCAUUGUUGUGUGCUGAUGAUGUGGCAAUUGAAGAGCCUGCUAACUUCUCUGAAGUUAUUGAAAGUGUGCAUUGUGAUAAGUGGCUUGAGGCAAUGCAAGAUGAAAUGGGAUCCCUUCAAAGAAAUCAGACCUGGACACUUGUUCCAAAUCUAGGUAAUAAAAAGUUGAUCAGUUGUAAGUGGAUCUUCAAGAAGAAUGAAGGAAUUCCAGAUGUUGAACCUCCCAAAUAUAAAGCAAGGCUAGUGGCUAGGGGGUUUACACAGAGAAAGAGUGUAGAUUUCAAUGAAAAAUUUUCCCCUGUUCUUAAGCACAUUUCAAUAAGAAUUUUAUUAGUCAUGGUAGCCUUACUUGACUUGGAGCUUGAGCAAAUGGAUGUAAAAACAGCAUUCCUUCAUGGUAAUCUUGAAGAACAGAUAUUGAUGGCACAACCUAAAUGUUUUGAGUGCAAAGGAAAUGAGGAUUAUGUUUGUUUGCUGCAUAAGUCCUUGUAUGGACUCAAGCAAUCCCCACGACAGUGGUACAUAAGAUUUGAUGAUUUUAUGGUCUCAAAAGGCUAUCACAUAAGCAAAUAUGACAGUUGUGUUUACUUUGGUGGAUCAUAUCAAGGUGGAGUUGCUUAUUUGCUUCUGUAUGUUGAAGAUAUGUUAAUUGCAAGAAAAUAUAAGUUGGAGAUAGAGAGGUUGAAGAAAUGAAGGAUCUCGGCAAUGCCAAAAGAAUCCUUGGGAUGAACAUUACAAGGGGCAGAUCUGCUGACACUUUGUUCUUGAGUCAUGAGAAAUAUAUCAAGAAGGUUCUGGAGAGGUUUGAGAUGCAAGACUAUAAACCUGUCCAAACACCACUUGGUCCCCAAUUCAAGUUGACAGCAGCUCAAUCAUCAGAAGAUGAGUCUCAGGUGAGUGAAUUCCCAUAUGCACAGGUUGUAGGGAGCCUGAUGUAUGUAAUGGUAUGCACCAGGUCAGAUAUAGCUUAUGCAGUAAGUGUUGUCAGCAAAUUUCUCAGUUGUCUAGGCAAGGUUCACUGGAAUGUUGUAAAAUGGAUAAUGAGAUAUCUUAAGGGCUCUUUUACUUGUGGUUUGCUGUAUGGGAAGACUAAGAGUGACAUAAGUGAAGUCCUGGGGUUUGUAGACUCUGACUUUGCUGGAGAUCUUGAUAGAAUGAAGUCAACCUCAGGGUAUAUGUUUGUGUUAAACAGUUGCCUGAUUAGCUGGAAGUCAUCACUUCAGUCUGUGGUUGCUUUAUCCUCAACUGAAGCUGAGUUUGUUGCAACUACAGAGGCAGUAAAAGAGGCCAUGUGGCUAAGAGGUUUGCUUAAUGAGUUAUGGUUAAAUCAGAAAAUUGUUCAGGUUUUCUGUGAUAACCAAAGUGUCAUACACCUGGUAAAGAAUCAGAUGUAUCAUGAAAGAACCAAGCACAUUGAUGUGAAGCUCCAGUUUAUCAGAGAUGAGGUUGGAAAAGGAACUAUAAUUGUGUCCAAGAUCUAUACCAGUGUGAAUCCAACUGAUGUUAUUACAAAAGCACUUCCCACUGCAAAAUUUGAAUUCUAUGUGAAUCUAAUGGGCAUCUCGCCCAAACCUAACUAAAUUCAAUAGUGAAUUGUAGUUGAAUGAAGGUUUUUUAGGUGCUGUGUUAUUGAAAGGAUCAACUGAAUCAACUGCAAGGUGGAGAAUGUGAAGAUGUGUGUGUGGACUGAAAUGAAGAAUAUGAAAAAGUUGAGAGCUGUUGUGCAGAUUGACUUCAGUUGAUGGGGUCUAUUAGAUAUUGUCUGCUGACGUGGUAUGAAUUCGUUAUAAUCUGUUAUAACGAGUUCAAUAUAUCAGUAUAUAAUGGAGCUGAUGGAUGGUGCCUGUUUUAGAGUCUUUUUCGUAUUCAUUUGUUCAUCAUUUUGCACAAGAUUUGUUCCAUUGUGAUCUGUGUAAAGUCUUCUGUAAAUCCACUCAUGAUUGGAUUAGUUCUUGAUCAAUAACGAGUAAAUUUUCCUUCAAGUGUGCUGGUCUGUGCCCCUGUUUUUGGUUCUAAUAUUGUUUCUUUGUUUUGGCAUUUCAUUUCGAUUGUGUGCUUGGUGUUUCUACUCAUCAAGAUUUGUGAGUCUUGUUGAGAUUAAAGGCUUAAUAGUCUUAACAAAAGGGAAUGUAGCAUUGCCAUUAAUCAACAUUCACUCUUAUGACUUUAUGACAUUAGAAUUAAAAUCUUUCGUACAUUUAAUUUAUUUGCUUCCAAAUUAAUCUUUAAUAAAUAUUUUUUCACAUUAUCAUCAAUGGACAAAACUCCAACGAAAAUAACUACACGAGAACAAUUUAUGCUAGUAUUAAAUGCCACGAUAUCUAUAACUUUGUCUGGAUCGAUCAUUCUAAUUUUUUCGCAGAACUUUUUGUCAAUGGACAAACACCUCACAGAGCUUGUCAGCCGCAUUAUUACGAUGUAAAAUUGUACCGGAAUAUCUUGAAUUAUUAGUAGAAUAAUGAAGACUAUUUGGGGCAAUAAAAACAAAUAACGCAGAUAAAAAAAUGGCUAAAAUUAUGUAAGUGAGCCCCAAAGUUUUUGCUAUUUCCAGGAAAUCCCAAAUUUGAAUGGACUAGAGGGAGGCACGUAAGAAAUACAUUUUCUUCCUAGACAAUGACAGCUAUGACAUCAAGCCACGGUGGCGUCAGUAUUGAAAUUAAGGUGUAAUUAUUCAGCCAAUGAGCCUUACACAUCAAGAUAAAAGUCAAGAUAAUGAAAAUUUGGCUGUUUCCAUUUGAAGUUAAAAGCAACGUUUCUUUCGUUUUGUGGGCGACUCGACUGAGCACGCCCCAAUAGCUAUAUUUAGGGCGUCAAUUUGAUAUUUGAAUGGACAGGCAAGUAAGAAAUACAUUUCCUUCAUAGACAAUGACAACGAGGACAUCAAGCCACAUCAUUAUAGUUUGUAGCCCAUCUACAUUUAAACGAUUAAUAAACAAGCUUAGGUGUGCCACUGCUAUUAUUAAUUAUCCCCUGAUCAUUAUAGUUUCUGAAACAGUAAAACUAAACGAAAUUGAAUACAUCAACGAGACCGCAAUUAUCACUUGUUUAGUUGCGGUAUUUAACUUAAUUUUAAUAUAAUAUAUUUGUUAGUUAAACUUUUAAUAAUCAAAUAAUUUUGAUUUAAAAAUAAAAUUAUAGAAAUUAUUAAUUAUUAAUUAUUAAAAAUUCACAAUUAAGGGAACGUUCAUCAAACACACAUAGCUAUUGUUUUCUCUAUAUAUUGCAGUGUGUACGAUAUUGAGGGUUGAAGCCCCAAGCAUGCUCUAAAAUCCAGAUAAUAAUUAGAUCCGGGCCAAAUAUUCAUCAUUGUGUCAGCUGAUCAGUCGGUGGACAUCUCUAUUGAAAAUAUCUCUGACAUUUCACUCGACAAACUUAUUAAUAUAAAAAAUCUGUGGUUUUGCCGUCUGAAUAAUGUAGAAAAAUUUGUCUAUGCAUUAAUCUAGAUGUUUGAGGUGAUUUAUACAUCUGUGGUAAAGAUUUAUAGGUUGACUUAGACGUCUGUGGUAUAGAUUUUAUGUAUUUCAUUACAAAAUGCUGGCCGUUAGAACCCUUUCUACAUCUAUUUAUAAGAUUAACGGGUGCCAGCUAUGCCAUUACAAAUUAUCCCCUCAUCAGAUAUUUCGUUAAAAUUCAUUCUGAAACACUAAAACUAAAUAAUCGAAUAUGGCUUUGCGGGUCGAUGAUGCCAGCAGCAAUGAGACUGCAAUUAUCACUUGUUUAGUUUCUGUGCUGGCCGUGGUUUACUUCGCAUGGAAUGUGAAAAAAUCAAGGAAAGCAAAUGCUACACUGCCACCAGGACCUCGCGGCUUGCCUGUAUUCGGAUACCUCCCAUUUCUUGGAACUACUGACUUGCACAAGAAAUUCACGGAAUUAUCCGGAGUUUAUGGUCCGAUCUUCAAGCUUUGGCUUGGAAAUAAAUUAUGUGUAGUGGUGAGCUCACCUUCCCUAAUUAGACAAGUGGUUCGUGAUCAAGAUACAACAUUCGCGAACCGUGACCCACCGAAGGCUGCACUAGUGGUCUCCUAUGGUGGCAAUGAUAUUGCAUGGUCCAAUUACGGUCCCGAAUGGAGAAAGUUGCGCAAAUUUUUUGUGGGCAAGAUGAUGAAUAACGCAAGCCUUGAUGCUUGUUAUGCUCUAAGAAGACAAGAGGUUAAAAAUACUAUCAGGGAUUUGUAUAACAACGACAACAAAAUUGGCAAGCCCAUUGACAUUGGUGAAUUGUCGUUUUCAACAUUGGUAUGUGCUAUACAGAACAUGCUGUGGGGUGAAGCGCUUGAAUUAAAAGAGAAAGGGACCACUAAUCUUAGGGCUGGGCUAAAAUUUAAGCUGGCAGAACUCAUGGUGCUUGCGGGAACACCGAAUAUUUCGGAUGUCUUUCCAAUGCUUUCAUGGCUUGACAUACAAGGUAUAGAGAGGAGAGCAAAGAAGAUUUCACUCUGGCUUGAUAAUGUUAUAAAUUCUACUGUUGAACAGCAUAGAAACAAGGAGUUAACUGUUGAAGGUGAAGAAAGAGCGGGGAAAAAUUUUGAAGGAUCAAGGAACAAGAACUUCUUGCAGUUACUAUUGGAGCUUCAAGAAAAUGAUGACAGUGCUUCCUCAAUUAGCAUGAACCAAUUCAAGGCCGUACUCGCGGUAUGUUAAGCAACUAGCCACGAACAGUUAUACAAGCACAAUUGUAUAUUUGCAUGAGUGAUAUUUUCAAC
rnacentral:lncRNA from 1 species